UUUCACCAUUCAAAGCUUUCAACUUGACAAAUAAAGGAUCCUCUUCACUUUCAAAUCUUCUAUCAAACAUAAUCCUAUACAUAAUAUUAUACAUCAUCAACUGCAACCUCUUCCUUAUAACAAUCCCACCAAUACUUGCUUCGGCGUUGUUCUUAACAUCGUUAACAACACUCUCAGCUUCAGACUCCCACCCGUAACGAUACUGUUGAACAACCUUGUUUGUAAAAAACGGAACUGUCAUGAUUCUGCGCAUUUUACGCCAAUGUUCGCCGUAGACUGUGAACACCAUGUCUUGUCCUUUACCAGUGAAGAUAUCGAAAACUACGUUACGUGUACGUGAUCCGAAUUCAACACCUUGUGUGUGGAGGACUUCUUUGGCGAGUUCUGGGGAAGAAACUACCACGAGGUUACGUUGGCCCAUACGUAGGAGGAACAUUUCGCCGAAGCGUUUGGCGUAAUCGGUGAGGUUACGGUGGUUGAGAUCAUCUCCGACUUGAAGCCAGUUACCGAAGAUAGGGACUGGGAUUGGACCUGGUGGGAGUUUGAAGCGUUUGCCACGGAGUUUUGAGAUUGUGAUGGCGAUUGUGGCGGCAAUGAAGAGGGCUAAAAGGGUCUUUUCAAGGAGGAGAAGAUCCAUUGUUGAGUGUGUUUUUGUGUUUUGGGUAAUGAAAAUGUUUGGAGUGGUUGUUGGGUUUUUAUAGAGAGGUUUUGAUGAUGAUGAUGAUGAUGAUGAUGUGUAUGGGGUUUUGGUUAGGUGGAUUUACUGUAGAGGGUUAGGUGGGGUUUGUGGCCUUGGUGUGUGUUGUCUUUUUUUGUGUGUAGAUUAAACUAAGAAUUGCAUUCUCUUUUCUCAUCGAGUUAAUGGUUCAUGGUUGGAUGGUCUUUGUAAAAAGUAAUUAAUUCAUUUUUGUGUUAUGUUUGGGUAUUUUUUGGUAUAAUAACUUAUCUCUCAAAAAAAAAAAAGUGUAACUCACUUUGUAUGGUUUUUUUUUUUUGACCGAACUCACUUUGUAAGGAUUUAACACCCAUUAAUUUUGAAUAUUCAUUCAACAACAUCUAAUUUUAUCUAGAGAUUAAAUAGUUCAACCGGUCUGAAUUAAGAUAAAAGAGUUGAAUGUUUUGAAUUCAAAUCCGGCACAAAUGAAUAAAUAUUAAUCUAAUAAACUAACUAUUAACACACUUUUCUUCUUCAAGACCCGUACAAGUAUAACUUCAUGUAAUGAUCUCUGCAAGAUGUGGGAUUUUAAUAUUGCAUUGUUAGAAAAAUAGUGUUGAUGGAUAUGGAUGAGUUGUGGAAUAGAAUGUUGGUGGCGAGGUACGAUGAGGAGGGAGGGAGGUUGAUGAAUAGAGAUAAGAAUGGGUCUGAGUGGUGGAAUGAGAUGGCAAAGGUGAGGGAUACAAUUGGUUUAGGGAUCAGAAGUUGGUUCGACGUUAAUGUUUGACGGGAGAUAAGCAAUGGGUCAAUACAUUUUUUUCGGACAAACUCAUGGUUAGGCGGGGUCUCUUUUAGGGACAUGUUUAUACGGUUGUUUGAUUUGACUGUUGUUUCUAGGAUAACGUUGGCAGACAUGUUUUCUUUAGGUUGGGGUGAUGUGGGAGAGGUUUGGAAGUGAUAGAGGAAAUUGUUUGUUUGGGAGAGAGAGAUGGUAGGGAAGUGUCGUGGUCUUCGUCUCGAUGUUUUUUGCAGGUUGACGUAUCAGAUUAGUGGAAAUGGAGGUUGGACCGGGUAACAUGCUAUUCAAUUAGAGACACUUAUAAAUUUUUGAAAAAUAUUGAACAUCAUGAUCGUUCUAUUUUCUCGGAUAUAAUUUGGCAUAAGAAUGUUCCUUUAAAAGUGUCAUUAUUUUCUUGACGUCUUCUUCAUGAUCGACUUCCUACAAAAGACAACUGAUUCAAAAGGGGCAUCUUUCAUCAUCUUAGCUUUGUGUGUUUGGUUGUGGUGCUAAUAAUUGGUUCACCAUAUGUUUUUUUGGUUUUAAUUUUUUCGGCACUAUUUGGCAUCAUGUUUGUCAAUAUUGAAGCAUCUGAUCAUUUUAUUCGGUUUGGUCAAUCAACGGACAACUCUAAAUCUCAGCGUUCAUUUUAUCAUAUCCUAUACAAUAUAAAGUGUCUUUCUUAUUGAUGGUUAAAGACAAUCUUUUGCUUUCGGGUAUCAAAAUUGGCCGUCUAGUCCUUUUACUUGUUUUGGAGUUGGAUAAUACUUCUCCUUUUUUGCUUUUGGUUUUAGUUUUGUAACAUUAUGUUAAAACUCUUGUAUUUUACGUAGGCAUAUUUUGUCCUACGUACAACUCUUUUUCGUUGAUGAUAUAUUCUUUUUACCUUCUUCAAACAAAUAAAUAAUAAUAAUCUAUGACAUUUAUCACAUCACUAUUUUUAUCUCUUCUCUUUCAAAAUGUAGAUUGAAUUUGGGUCAUCUAUUAAUCAUUUUCCUUAAUCAAUAUCCAAUAUAAAAGUUUUUUACAAGAAAUAUAUAAAAGUUAUCUUAAAAAAUCCAAUAUAAAAGUUGUCUACGUUAUUAGUCCAUCAUAACCAUUGACUUAAAAAAAUGACUUUAAUCAAAUUGAUUUUAAACAUUACACAUCCAUAAUUUGUUGAGGAUAUAAAUUUGGGUAAAUUGAAAUUCUAUUUGUUUGGAAAAAGAGUAAGGAGAUUUUAGGAAGAUGUGGGAUUUUGACAUUACAUUGUUAGAAAAAUAGUGUUGGUCACUACCAAAAAAAGAAAGAAAAAUAGUGUUGGUGGAUACGGAUAAAUUGUGGUAUAAAGUGUUGACGGUGAGGUACGGUAAAUAAGGAUGAAGAUUGAAGGAGAGAGAUACGAAUGAGCCUGAGUGAUGGAAUGAUAUGGCAAUGGUAAGUGACAAAAUUAUUAUAAAAAGUAUUAUAAUAAUUUUGUAUCAAAAUUAAUUAAUUUUUAUUUAAAAUAUAUUUCAACUCUUUAACUUUUAUCUUUGUACGUAUUAUUUCAAUUAUAAAGUGUAUAAAAUUGAAGAGCGUUUCAUUGAAAGCUUACAAAUUAUUAGAUAGAAAAUUAUUGAAUAAUUAUUCCUCAUAUAUAAAAAAUCAUUUAAUUAUCAUAUAUUUGUGGGAAAUAACCUUUACACAGACAAUGCAUCAAAAUUCAGCUAAAUAUAUUCUCCAUACUUUUGUGACUAAAUCAAUAUUUUUAAUGCUUAUGAGAUUACCUAGACAUAAAAAUGUCAAAUAAUAUUAAUUUAAGAUAACCAACUUAAAAAGAAUAAAAUCUAAAAAUUUAAAUUAAAUAAAUAAAGUAGAUUGGUGAAAUAAUUUUGUCCAACUAAUUAAAGAUGUGAGAACGUGGAGUUUGUGGUAGGAAUAGUGAUGGGUUAGAUGACGCUGACUUUUUGGUGAAGAAGUGGCAAAUGUAAGAGCAAAAAUGAAAUACAGAGAAAGGUUGUCAUGUGUUCGUGCGACGGUCCACGUUGUCCUCUUGCAUGUAGUAGGUGAGAGGGGUUGGUGGCUGGCAUAGCAAGAUUAAAAAAUGUGGCAUAUAUUAUAAGUUCUUUAUUUUUAUUUUUUUUGACAGAAUGUCUGUAUAUACUUACGCAAAAUUAAUCAAUACUAUAAGCCACUAGGACUGUAAUGAUUAUUAUAAAAAUUAUGGUUUUAAAUGUCAACAAUUUACAUCAUCAAAGUAAUAUUUAUAAUAUUUAGUCUAAUGAACCCCUAAAAUAAAUUAGUCUAAUGAAGUUGUAAUGCGCUGUACGUAUCAAGUGGUAGUACUCCUUGGGAUAUAUUUUUUAAUUUUAAUUUUUAUAAAUUUUCUGUAUAUAUUAUUGUUAAUUUUUUUUUUUGGUGUAUGACAAAGAAGGGAGACAUCAGAUGAUUGGAUUCAAAUGCUUAAUAAGUUUUAUAAAGAAAUAUAUUGUUCUUGUACCAAAAAAAAAAAAGAAUAUAUCUUCAAUAAAAUUUGAAUUGAGUGAACCAUCAAAUUCGUCCCUGAAUUUUCACGCGUCGAUCAACUUCGUCCCUUAAUUAUGCGAAAUAUCAACUUAGUCCCUUAAUUUUUCAGACGUCCAUCAAAAAGGUCCCUCCGUCCAAGUGCUCUGUUAGCCUUGCUGAUCUAUCGCCUUGCAUGCUGUGUUGUCUUGUACGCGUGGCAAGAAGGAAGCCACGUGUUCAGGGACUAAUUUGAUUGAAUUGGAAAAUGUUGAGUUUUCACUUUUCAGUUUAUUUUUUUCUGUUUUUCCCAUUUUGCCCCUAUAUUACCCAUACCUCCUUCUUCACAUUUCAGAACAUCAAAAACGUCCUUGACCCUUCUUCUUCUCGCUAAAACUUCCUCCAUUUCCACCCCUCCAAAAUCAUCAUCAUCUCCAGCGAUUAUACCAUUUUUGAAGUUUGUGUGUUCGGCUGUGAUUAAAGGUAACACCUUUCCUGUUGUUUAUCAAGUUUUUGUGUUAGUAUUCACCUUGUUUUUGUCCGUUUUUUUGUGUUUUCGUUUUAAGUUUUGAUCAUGUUCUUUAUUUUGUUUUUGUGAUCGUUGAUGCUUGCCUUGUUCUUUGUUUGUGUUUGUUGCGUUUUUGAGACAGUUGUUUUGAUUAUUCGUUUUAAGAUUUUGGAAGUGAGACUCAAUAAGAAACGGUCUCUCCAACGCAUAAAUGGUUGGGAGUUCACAUUUUCAUCAUCUUUGGUAAAAUCAAGUCCACCACGUAGACAUUCCUAAACUGUUCUACCGUAAUUUUUAGCGGAUAAACCCAAUUUAGGUUUAAUAGUACACCCCAAUAGGGGACGUCCAUAUUUGUUCAACUUAUCUCUCUCAACUUGGAUUCCGUGAGGAGGAUCUUGGAAAGUUUUAACAUAAGCAACGGGGAUUCGCAAAUCUUCCAGACGUAGAGCACACAAGGCCUUGAACCCAAAUACAUUACCUACAAUGGAGGUAAACAUGUUAGUAACAGAACCUUCUUUAAAAAGGUCUAAAAGAAAGUCAGCCACAAGAAUAAUGUUGUGUCUGGGAAUGCAGAAACUGCAAGAAAUGUUGUUGCAAAUGCUGGACAGGUAUGACUCUUAAUUUUUAAGGAUCAUUUUGACAAUUAGUAAUAUUAAUUGAAGGACUCAUAUGAUUGAUUAUGUUAUGAUUUUAGGGACUAAUUUGAUUGAAUUUUCAAUUUCAGGUUUCUGCACCAAGGAGGUAUGACCUUAGAGGACCAGUUCUUUCAGUUGAUAGGCCUAAGCAAACACCAAUGAAGGGUCCUGCACCUGCUCAUCCAACUCCUGCUAGCAUAAUUAGGGUUCCAUAUCCAACCUAUGGUCCAUCCGGUUCGACUCAACCUACUGAAUUCAUGGAGUUUAGACCAACUACCGGAUUUCCAAAGAAGUGAUGCUUCCUGGGGUUUAAUAGAUGUUUUGGAUUUGUAAUAUUUAGGCUUAUUUGAAUUAUGCCCCAUAGUUGAGUUUCUUUUUGCUUAAAUUGUCGUUUAAGACUUAUGACUUAUUAAUGCCCCAUAGUUGGGUUGCUUUUGCCUAUGUAAUUUCUCAGACUUAUGACCUAUGACUUAUGCAUAUGUAAUAUUUCAGUUUCAAUUUGUGUGUUCUACCUUUUUUAGUUUAUUUUGUACACAUAUGUUUCAAGGAUCAAUUUGAUAUCUGAUUAAACAAUUCAUGGACUUAUUUGAUGGUUUUUUAUAUAACGCAGGGAUCUAUUUGAUAGAUAGAGAAAUAGUUCAUGGACUAAUUUGAUGGCAAUAUUAUUAUAGAAAGAUUACAUUUCUCAAUCAUCUUCAACCUCUUUUGAUUAGUUAAACCAACCUUUGGCAGAGGGCAAGCAUAGAAUGACCUUCCUAGGUUUUUUUGGAUUUUCUAACAACACAAAUUGUAGGACACCAACAUUCAAGCACUCUCACAACACCAUUAAACUUGGAGCUUGAAGAUGAAGCUUGACUUUCAUAACCGUUUUUUCCCAUAUUCCCACCCCACAUCAUUUUGAAGUAUUCAAUUUCAAUAGUUUUGCUUCAAGAAAUUUUGAGGAUUUUGGCUUUCAGAUUCACUACGAAAAAAAUUAGGGUUUGAAGUUUUUUGAAUUGGGGCAGAACUGAACCUCUUAUUAUUGGAGUAAAUUUUCAUGAUUAUAGAGUGUAGAUUGCAGAUUGUGUAAUUAGGGUUCCAAUUUUAUACAAUUGGGGAAGAAAGAGCUGUUGGGGAAGAAAAGAGCCAUUUGGGAAGAAAGCCAAAACAUUUUCUACAAAUCAAUCAAUUUAGUCCUUCAAAAUGUUUGUUAUUAUCGGCCAAAUUAGUCCCUGCCUACGUGGCGUCUGACAUGUGAGAGGUUAACGGCCGCGUCAGCCCCGUUAACGCUCCGUUUGAACAUAAGGACUAACUUGAUUGACAUUUAACAAAUUCAGGGAUUAAAUUGAUAUUUCGCAUAAUUGAGGGACGAAGUUGGCCGACCCGUAAAAAUUCAGGGACGAAGUUGAUGAUUCACUCAAUUUGAAUUUGAUUCUUGAGUUAAACAAUUACUAACUAUCAAUGAGGUUGUAUAUUUUUUGUCAUUUGUUUUGAAGGAAUGUUUAAUUCUUUUUAUCAUUGUUAUUAUCAGCAUCAUAAGCAUUAAAAAACUUCAAUCGAAGUACAACUUUUUAAGAUUACCUUGACUUUUUAUCAUUUGAUUCUGAAGUACAGCUUCUGAUGUCUUCAGAAGUAGAAUCUAGUAACAAACCUCGGUUAGCGUGUUAACCAAUGUAGUUAGUUUGUUAGAGGAGUUUGUUACAACGUCCAGUUGUAUAUAUACUCACUCAUGUGUUGUAAAUAAUGAUGAAUUCAUUCAAUAAAAUUACACAAGUCUUUUACUCAUAUCUCUGUUCUCUCUCAAAACCAUAGAAACCCAGAAUCUCAAUUCCAUCUUCUUCAAUUGAACUCAGUUUUAAGUGCUGGUUUCAUUCUAAUUUCAUUCAUUGUUCCAUCACUUAGAACAACGUUUAACAACACAAUUCUUCCCUCAAGAUUGAUAUAAUUAUUCCCCCAAAAGCCUAAUAUCCUCGAAAGAACAUCGAACUUCGAUUUUCAAAUGGAAAACUUUCAUAAAUUUUCUCCCACAAGCAACCCUAAAUACUUGAAAAAGGUCGACCCAAUCCUACAAGAAAACAAGACACCAUAACAAGGAACUAAUCUAGUACAUUAACCCCCACCAAAGUAACUCUUUCAUAAAUUGACUUUCAUGCCUAAACCCAUUUCAUGUUUUCUAAAUGUCGCCUUGAGCAGCCACAAAUUCUCCACCGUUGUUUAACCCAAAUCUACCAUGCAUCUAGUCAAGGAAACUUCAAUCGAAGGAAUCUUGAGCCUUUUCAAAGUCCACCUUUAGAAUCUAACCUUUUUUUAUCCAAUCUUUUAGCAAUAUCAUUUACGCCAUUGAUAACAAACACACCAUCCAUUAAUACCUCUCGCUUAUGAAUGCAAAAUGUGUUUUUGGUACCAAUAACCUCGGCUAGUCUCCUUGAUAACACCUACAACAACUUGUACAAGCACCCCCCAAAAGAGAAAUGAAACGAUGACUCCAUGAUAUUGGGGGAAUGCACCUUUAAAAUCAAAGUAAUGAAGUAGGAAAAAAAAUACUAUUGGAAAGACACACAUUCACAUGAAAGCGAUCAAACAUAUAUUUUACCUUCCAUUUCAUUACAUCCCAAAACUCUUUGAUGAAGGUGGAGCUAAAACAUUCCGACCCUAAAAAUCUUUUAACAAUUUCUUCCAUUUCCCCAGCACAAUCAGCCCAUUAUUACUCUUAUAAUAUUGCUAUAUGAUUUGAUGAUAAAAGUUAAAAUUAAAUACGUCUUAAUUUAAUGGGAUAUAAUGAGUCGAAAAACUAUAAGAAAAUAUUUUAGAAACAUAUAUAUACAAAAGGACAUAUUAAAUUACAUUGGUUACUCCUAUCAGAAUAGGUCAUAAGAUUCUUUGUCCUAAAUAAAUCAAUAAAAUUAUAUCUUGUUGCAAAAGAUUCAUCCUUAAUCAAAACGAGUUAAACACACACAUAUAUAUAUAUAUAUAUAUAUAUAUAUAUAUAUAUAUAUAUAUAUAUAAUUUUCACAUCUCUAAACAAAUGAUGCACUAAGCCGUCUCGUACCUCUCAUUCAUGUGAAAAAUGUAAACCAAAUUAAAGGGCACCACUUUACAAUAGCCACCACGACUAAAUAUGUUAAACAAAUUAUUUUGGUACUUCCCCUCCGGGGGUUGGCAGGUGGCACCGACUGGAAACUAUUAUAGUCAAAGCGUAGUAGUUGAAUUUUUGACUUUUUUAUACGACUAAAUGGCCCUUCAAAAUAUUCAACCUAGUUUCUCACUACUGCCAACUUCCAUUUAUAAUUAGUCAACCAAGUUUGAUUACUUUUCGUAUUCUAUUCCUACAUGUUUCUUUUAGAGGCUACUCCUACUUGUUAAACAACGUGGUUUAAUUUAUACUAAUUUAUCUUAGUGGUUUGAUAUUUUGAUUCCUAUGUAUAGUCAGCCUAUCUCUGUAAUGGAAUGAAGAGAAAAUCUAAGCAAAUUUAAAAAAAAUGUAGUUUAACUAAAGGCAAUUUUUAUGGAAUUGAGUGUACCGGUACACCCAUAUGUUAAAUGAAUAAUUUGAUGAGUUAUUUUUUUUAGAAAAAUUAUAUUUUCUAUUGAUUACAAUUAUAAUAAUUAUAUUUUAUUUCUCAAAAGUGUCGGCAAAUUCAAAUUCAAAUUUUUUUAAUUUUUAAUACCCUUAAUAGUGAAUAUUGAUUAUUUUUUUUGGAUAAAAUGUUAAAAAAGUAGUAUGAUUCUUAUAAAGGAUGAAAUGACGUUUUUUCUUAUAAAAUAAUAUUUUCUAAAAUAUAAAAGUUGAUAAAUAUCUCUUUAUUACAUAAAAAUGAUCGAUAACUUAUUGAUUUAUAAAAUAGGUGUACUGGUACACUUUAAUUUAAGGGUGUACCAUAGAAACCCCCUUAACUAAAUCGACAAAUUAUUACAAAUUUUGUUUAUUGAAAUGGCCAUUCCAAAUAUUCAAAUGUAGUUUCUCACUACUGCCAACUCCUAAGAAUAAUCAGUCAACCAAUUUAAAAGUUUGAUUCUUUUUUAAUAUUAUAAGCCUGGUUACAUGUUAAACAACAUGGUUUAAGAUACAAAGAAUCUUUAUUUUAUUUUUUGGAUGAAAAAGAAUCUUUAUUUUAGUCCCUACAUGAUAAAUAAAUUCAUAAAUUAUCACCAAUAUUGUUUUGUUCAGUCUUUAGAGAUUCCUAUGCAUAGAACAAGUCAGUGUGUCUGUGCAAUGGAAUGAAGAAAAACUAUAAACAAAUUAAAUUCCAAAAAAAAAAACUAUAUUGGUUCCCAUGUUUGAUUUUAUAAAAAAUGAAGGACAAGACAGAACAACUCCAGUUGUGCAGUGUUUGAUUUGUAAAAUUGUUUCAGGAACAGGACAAAUUGGAGGCAAAGGAUAGGACAAAAACUGAAAUUUUUGUCCUCACCAAACCACAGCACAACUUUUUGUCCCACGUACAAAUUAUCUAAAAUACCAAAAUAGCAUUUCGUCCCCCAAAAAUUAUAUAAAACAUAAAAAUUUUCAAUACCAUAAAAAUUUGUGUUGUGCUGUUCUGCCUUGUGUUAUGUUGUUCUGUCUCUUACUGUUCUGUCCAGUACUUACUUUUGCAAAUCAAACGCACCCUAAUUUGGAUCUAUGUAGGUUGAUCAUUUCAUCAAAUGAAUUUUUUAAUUUUAAAAUUUAUUUGAAAUUUUAUAUAGUUGACAUGAACAAGAGUUAAUUGCAUGAUUAUAUUCACUAAUAAAAAAAAUCCAAUGAUGUCUAUGUAAGUUUAACUUAGUUGAUAAUUAUAUUUCAUAAUAUAUGUAGGGUCAGAGUUCGAACUUCAAAACACCACACUUAUUGAUAAACUAAAUCUUAUAAAAUUGAGGACACAAUUUAUAAAAUUCCAAUAAAACUUAGGCGCUAUAUCUAUAACAAUAACAUAUACCAAUAUACCCCCUUUAAAAAAUGGAUAACCAUGGUUUUUUAAUCAAUAUGACCAUGAUUUUUCUUUAAUCAGGUAACUAUGACCUAAGAAUAAAAAAGGGAGUCCAAAUUUAAGACCUUGAUCCAAAAUGCUUAUUUUGUUCUUGAAGAGUCCACAGAGUCUGAGGCAGCAAGUUGUAACUUCUGACCUUUUGAUGCUGGCUCACCUACUUCCACAGAAAGAGACACAAAAACAAACACAAAAACAAACCUUUUUGUUUUUAAUUUUUUUACACAACACAACAAAGUGACAAACCUAACUCAAACUAAAACACGAUACAUACAGAUACAGUCGCCCAUUACUAUUCAUCGCAUGACACCAUCAUUUCUCGUCAUGCUUUAUGUCAUCAGCAACUCAAUUUAUUCAAUAAUGGGCUACAAACUAAAAUCAACUAAUCACAUUUAUAAAAAAAGUAUUUUAGGUUGAUUGAAUACAUAAUAUAUUUUGUUUAUAUAUAGACUAAAUACGUUAUACAUUGAAUCAAUUUAAAAACACUUUUUUUACUUAAUAUGUUUUUUUUGUGUGUUUGUUCAGUAAUCUCUAAUAUGCCGACGGAUUAUCUAAAUCAGUUUGAUUUUGUUGAUGACAAUUGUGUUGGAAAUUUAGGUCUUAAUUAAAAACAGAUUUUAUAAUACAUGUUCAACAAUCGUAAAUCAAUAGCGGAAGCAAACAAAACAUUGAACAUGAUUAUGAUAGGAUCUACGACAUGUUUGAUUUAUCAAGGAUAUUAAGAAUUAGGUAUUAGGAAUACCUGAAUAAAGCUUUCAUAGCAGCCCUCUCAACAACAACGACGAUAAGGAGAGAGUAGGUGAUAUGGAUAAAGGUUUCAUAGCAGCCCUUUAAUCAACAACAAUAACCAAAGAGAGAAGAUGAUCUGAAACACACAAUAGAGUUAGCGGCGGCUAAUUUGGUUCUUCCUCAACCGGUACCUUUAUGCCUCAAGUUCUCUUCAGAUGGGGAGAAGAGAGAGUAUUGUCGUGUACGGUGUAUUUGGGACCAUAGCCUCUUUUAUAUUAGAUGGCCAUUAGGGUUUCCCAUUAUUCCGUUAAUGGGCCAUCCGGACAUACACUCAUGUUGAGUCCAUAUCAACUAAUUAAAUAAUUAAUUAUCCAAAAUAGAAAUCUAAUUAGCCUUAUUACUUAAUUUGAUCACUAAUCAAUUAAGGCUCACAAUUGAUAAAUAGUUAAUAUAAUUAUUAUUACGAUAUUUGCCCACAUAAUGAUAUUGGAAUAUUAUUAAAUAAUAAAAUAUUCCAACAAUCUCCCACUUGGGCUACAUAUCUUAAUAAUUAUAUCAGAAUUCUUUAGGCGCGCAAUUGAAUGCUAUUUAUCUUUAGAUUUCAACUUUACAAUCUGGUCCACCUCAUACAUUAAUAAUGGGACCAUCGCGGCUGUCGUCACUAACGUAUAACGUGACGGAACUCUGACAACCCCCAUAUCAAUGCACUUGAUGACAUAGAUCGAUAUGGAUAAGUGACAUGGAAAUUUCAUGUAAUGUGAUCUCUAAAUCAUGUCUAUUUCCAACUGGUCCAACUGAAAACUUUAGUGAGAUCAAACUGAAGUUUACAAAUUCAAUAUUUGCACAAAAUGAUACAGGAAUGGUUAUAACAAAAUAACCUUAUGAACUUUAUUUCUGCAGAAAAUUAUACCAUAAAGUCUGUAUCGAUACUAAAACAAAUUAUAGAACAUAAAAUAAAAGAGACUCCCACUAAUCCAAGACAUCCUUAAUGACAACAACCAUAUGAAAGACCUUAGGUGUCAUGUCUUUGAUUAGUGGUAUAGCUAGCAUAAGUUUGUCUCUACAUGUUCUAUCAUUUAACAAAUCUAUAAGGUAAUGAACCUUAUAAACUUUGUUAACAAGAAUAAAUUAUGUCACUAUAUAUCUUAAGUUGUCUUUCAAUACCUUUUACUAUAUGCAACUAAGUGACAUAAAUACUUAUAGUCAUUUCUUGAGUUAGAAUGUCUAUUAUCUACUUACAUCCAAAAAACCAUAGUCUGACACACUAAUGAUCUCCAAAUUGUCAGAUUUCUGAUGUGAGCAUAAGCUCUCUUAUUCUCUUUAAUGAUCCUUAUGGUUGCUUUUUAAACAAUUCAAACUUUGAAUUGCUCAAAUAUCUGCCAAACAAUUUUAUUAUAUACACUAUUUCAAAAUGCGUAUAAUAAUAUUAUACAUAAAAAAUCUAUAGACAAAGUGUAGGAAAAUACUUAAAUUUAUGAAUUUAUAAAUUUUCUAACGGGCAAUAUUUGAGACUGAAAAGUCUCUCUCGGUGAUUGAGGUCAUCCAAAAAUUAUGUAAUUUCAUUUUCAACUUUAUUGAUAUAACUCUUUUGUGAUAUCCGAAUAAUACCUUGAGAAGAAUCUCUAAGUAUUGAAAUGCCUAAUACAAAAGAUGUGUCCCCAGGAUCUUUCAUCGCUAACUUUUGUUAGAGAUUUCCUUGGUUCCACAUGACAAACAUAUAUCAUCGUUGACUGAAUAAAAUAAAAUUGACAUAUUAAACUAGAAAUAUAAAAUUACUCCCACUGAACUUGCUAAAUCCACAAUUCUCCAUAAUAUUAUCUCAAAACCAAAUAAGACAAUUACUUUAUGAGAAUUUUUGGUAACACUAAAGAGACAAAUUUCUUAACUUAUAAGUGGAUUUCAUAACUUUGCAAACCAUUUACUUUGUAUCAAUUGACACAAAAGUUUUAUUCAGAUGCACCAUCUUGUAUCGUUAAUGUCACCAUUAAGAAACACUAUAUUAAAAUCCAUCUUAUGCAGCUCCAAAAUUAUAAUCAGCAAACUAGUAUCAUGACGGUCAUAAUGGAGUCUUUCAAUUAAACUAAAUAGAACUUCUCUUUUCAGUCAAUUCUUAAUGACACUAGAAGCCAUAUUUCUUGAGGGUGUUGAGUUUGAUCUAUAUGAAUUAAUUUCUUAACUUGAUUGAGAGAAAGAACAAUAAUAUCCUCACGAGGAUCCAAAUAUACUAUAAUAAUAGUAACUAUAUGAAUUAGUUUAGAACUAAUUCUGCCUUAUUCAAUUUUGUUCUAAAACCAUAUAUCUCCCCCAAACUCAAUAUCCUCAAGAGGGAAAAAAUAAACCGAAAAAAUUUGAUCCAUGAUCAAAUUUAAUUGUUUAUUAGCAAAAUAAAAAUUCGCGAAAUAAAUAAAAUAUAUAACCCAAUUCACGUAAAUAUGAUAUGUCAUAUGUUUCCAACAAUUGAAUCAAUUGAAAAUUGGAAUGCAAUAUAUUUACGAUUUCGAAAACUAAAUUGGAUAUAUAUCCAUCCCGUAAGCAAACCAUGAAAUAUAAUCCAGUCACAGUCAUGAAAACAACAGCGACCAAAAAAAUUAAAUUAGGGUUCAUAACAAAUUCAUAUCCCAAUAAAUCAAACAUGAAGACCGCUCUGAUACCAUUUGUUGGAAAUUUAGGUCUUAAUUAAAAACAGAUUUCAUAAUACAUGUUCAACAAUCGUAAAUCAAUAGCGGAAGCAAACAAAACAUUGAACAUGAUUAUGAUAGGAUCUACGACAUGUUUGAUUUAUCAAGGAUAUUAAGAAUUAGGUAUUAGGAUUACCUGAAUAAAGCUUUCAUAGCAGUCCUCUCAACAACAAUGACGAUAAGGAGAGAUGAGGUGAUAUGGAUAAAGCUUUCAUAGCAGCCCUUUAAUCAACAACGAUAACCAAAGAGAUGAGAUGAUCUGAAACACACAAUAGAGUUAGCGGCGGCUGAUUUAGUUCUUCCUCAACCGGUACCUUUAUGCCUCAAGUUCUCUUCAGAUGGGGAGAAUAGAGAGUAUUUCCGUGUACGGUGUAUUGGGGACCAUAGCCUCUUUUAUAUUGGAUGGCCAUUAGGGUUUCCCAUUAUUCCGUUAAUGGGCCAUCCGGACAUCCACUCAUGUUGAGUCCAUAUCAACUAAUUAAAUAAUUAAUUAUCCAAAAUAGAAAUCUAAUUAGCUUAUUAUUUAAUUUGAUCACUAACCAAUUAAGGCUCACAAUUGAUAAAUAGCUAAUAUAAUUAUUAUUACGAUAUUUGCCCACAUAAUGAUAUUGGAAUAUUAUUAAAUAAUAAAAUAUUCCAACAAAUUGUUCCAAGGGGCGGCGGUCUAUUAUGCAGUUGAUUUGGUUUGCGACGGUGUGGAAAAUUUGGAAGGAAAGAAACAACAAAAUCUUUAACGGCAAAGAAUGUUCAACAUAUCAGAUUGUUGACAAGAUUAACUAAGUCUCUUACUUAUGUGUGGUUGAAGGCGAAAAUUUCAAAUCUCUCUUUCAACUACCAUACUUGGUGGUUAGUCCGUUCAAUAUGUUGGGCAUUGGCUAAUGUUUUUUCUUUCUCUGUUUGUCUGUUUCUUUUCUUUUGUACAUAUGUUUGUGACUUUGUUCUUUUCCUAACACACCUUGUACUAGGAAGAACUCUUUGAUUUAGGUAAUAUAUUUCCUUUUAACCUCUUCAAAAAAAAUCUAAUAUAACAGGUGCAACAGCUGGUGCAAAGUUGGGUGAAAAUAGAAAAUGGAUCCGCUCAAUCUCUUUCUUGUCAUGUUUUUUCAAUUUAUUAAAUGCUUGUAAUACAAAGAGAUAAUUCUAAUGAGGUGGUUACAAACCGUUAAUAUGAAGGUGAGUAUUCUAGUGAGUAUUAUUUGUCAUUAGGUGAGUAAUACCUCAUUAGAAGGUAUCUCUUUGUAUUUGUAAUACAAACCGUUAAUAUGUUUUUAUUGAUAUGUACUUGCGGUGAGUGCAUAACCUACAACCCACUCUCCCAUGACAGUGAAAGGAGUUUUAGGCAAAACGAGACCUUGUCAAUGUCAGCGGUGUGCCAUACAUACGGUCGAGGUAUUUUUCUCAUAGAUCGACUGAGGAGGAGGAGGAUCCUUGGUCCUAUGUAUUCCUAAGUGAUUAGGGAAUCAUAAUUGUGUAGUUCUCUAUGUAAGAUUGUCAAGUAGGAAUAUAAGAAUUGAAUUCAUUAGGAAGGAAUGUGACCUACAAUUUAUAAAGUUCACCAUACAGAGAUAAUGGGUCGGUUAGUGGGGAGUUGGAGAGUAAAGGAGGAUCAUGGAGUAUCCCCACUACACUCCACCUUCCUAAAUCGAGUCAAUGACAUAAGUUUAAUGAAUCAUCUAUAUUUUGGUAGCAAGUAUAUGGCCUUUGGAUCGCCCAUUUGAUCGACCCAGUUUACAAAGGGCGGUACAUACUACCCAAUAAUAUUAUACUGAUACACAACCCUCUCAAGCACGAGGCUUGUAAGGGUGAAGUGUUUGACAAGCUAACGUGUAUUUUAAGAUCACCAAAACCCUUGAGGCCUUAAGCACUAGGGCAAAGUUGAUUUCCCUAAGACAAUGUAAAGGUGAGAUCGGAAAGCCUAUAUGUCCUUAUGUCUAAAGGCGAGAUAUUUUCUUUAUUUUAAGACGAAAUCUCUUAAAAUAUCAAUGUACAUACAUAGAGCCCAUCCCUAGAGGUUUUGACGAGCCCCGAAGACUAGGAAACUUGGAGCCCCAAGGUUUAGGUUUGUAUAGACGAGUUUCUUUGCUAUUGGCGAGUUAAUCAUCGUCUCACUCGGGGUAAAUCUCUUGUUUAUCUCGGCUAGAUUUGUUCUUGGGGAGCUCCUUAUUAUUGAAAUGUGGCGGUUUUUGCUUGUUUUUUUCUAGGUGGGUUAUAAUUCCUCGAGCCAUAUUGUAUUUGACGCAUCAUCUCGUAUUUUAUAGAUGUGAAUAAUGAAGGAUUUAUUUUCUUUAAAUGCAUCUUGUUCCUCUAAGUUUCGUUAUGACCUUGUGCAACUUUUCUAUCUCAGAUUUUUCAUUAAGUUCAUCUAGGUGAAGCCCUCACAUUUUUGUUCUUUGGGCGAAUUCGUUUAUCUGGUCGAAGUUGUCAAGUUUACCUGGGUAAAGCCCCUAAGCUUUUGUUCUUUUGGCAAAGGGGAACUGGUCCAUGUAUGUCCUCCUUGGAUCCAUAUAUAAUUAUCAUAUCAUGUUUUUUAUUUUCGCAUUAAAUGAGUCCGUAAACUUAUAAAAAAUAAACAUGCAUUUUGUCACACAUAAUAGACGUGCAUCGUGGUUAAAAUGACAUAGCAAAGUACAGUAUGAUAUUGCAUUUAAUUUGCUCCAUCAAUGAUAAUUGCAAUUGCAAAUUGUGAGAUUAGGGCACCAAUCAAGGUAUUAUAGACUCUAAUACAUUCAACGAUAUUUUAUUUCAUAAACUGUGUAUAGUAGUAGUUUAUAGUUUUUUUUAUUGCAUCUCCAAUCUAGAAAAAAUAAGAAACCUAAAGUUAUUUUCAUAGGUGGUUCCCGUACAAACAAUUUAAUUAAUAGUUUUAUUUAGCCUUAUUUAAGCUGCUAUGCACAAUUCCUUCAACAACAAAAAAACCGAUGUCAAAAAAACAUGUCAAACUACGAUUCGAUUCAAUGUGCUUUAAGCAACCUCAAAGAUACCUUCAUUAAAUAUGAUCCUAGGGGGCGUUUGUUUGACGGUUUAAAAUUUCAUUCCUGGGAUUAACCUUUCCUGGAAAAUAAUAAUGGGCAUCUUAUUCCUGAGUAUUUUUAGAAAAUUGUGUUUGGUAAAUAAUUGUCAGAUUCAUGGGAAUUGUUUGUGAUAGUGGGUAUAUGGGUAGUUAUUUCCAUUUUAGUACCAUUUACAUGGGAAUCUUUUAUUCCCGCCCACUUUCUUUGGGAAUAAAAUCAUGGGUAAGUGGAAGUUAUUUUUUUCCUAGGAAUUUUUUAUUUCCGGGAGUUAUUUUUUUAACUUUGUAACAAACAUAGGAAUCUAUAAUUCCAACCUCCAUGUUCCUGGGAAUAACUUUUUAAACCAUGAAACAAACACCCCCUUAGGAAUAUAAUAAUCUAGAGCGCUGCUAUAUACAGCGAAAUCUAUAUUUUGUGAAAUUUCACGAAGCAACAUGCAUGACUUUGUUUCUCUUUCUUAUAACAUGGAGCUAUAUUUAAAACAUUUUAAAUAAUUAAUAAAAAGGAAUAUGCAAAAUGUUUUAGUGAUAUAAUUUCGGAAUUUGUGGAAAACAUGCGGUGGUGGUGCAUAUUAGCCGAUCAAAGUUUAUUCGUUAAAUGGUCGGUACGAUCUCUUUCGCUAAAUAUAGCAUUUUCCAAUAAUUUAUAGUUUAUUUACUUGUUGACCAACGAUAUUUUAUUUUGUAUAAUGUUUAUCUUAAGAAAAGACAUUUUUUUCUAACCUCAAAAGGUUGGUCCAAUAAUGGUAAAAAGAUAGUCUCUUAAGAGCAUGUUAAGCGACUCACACAAUGUCAUAUCAUACAUACUUAUGCAACUCAAACAGAUUUCACUCCAAUGAUUUAUAGCUCACUUUUAAUGAUUGUUUUAUCUGCAACAUUGAAUUUGAGAAAAUAAACCAACUUUUGAUCCCAUAAUAUGAUAGCUUAUUUAACAUACUAAAAUUGUUUCUUCCUAAUCUACACUACAACAUUAUGGUUACUCCAAUGAUGAAAAUAAAAAUAAAAAUUGUUCAUCAUUAUAUGAAACUUGUUUAGAUAUCCCAAUUGGAGAUAUUUUUAAUGAUAUCUACCGUACCAUUCCCUUCAGAAAAAACAAAACACAUUUUUCAAAUGAUACAUAAAGAACUUUAGACUUUUUAUAUUUUUAUUUUUUUUCUAAUUCAUAAAAAAAAGUACGUAUCUUUACUAAUUAUUAGAGACAUUUACUCAUCAGAACAAGUUCUGUAAUACUAGUUGUAUUCUAUAAUAUAUAUUUUCUUGCAGAGUGACAUUGAAGAUGAAGUAGAUGAGUCAUGUGAUUCAUUGAAAGUGAUCCCAUCAGAGACCAGUCAAGCUUGUGAUAUUGGUGAAUUUAAUCCACGAGUGUUGAUACUCCUAGUCCUCAUUUUCGUGUCAUUCAUCUUUUUUGGUCAAUAUUUUGUUUUUGUAGCUCCUGUAAUACUUCUUAUAGUAUUAAUCUUCUUCUGUGUUGUAAUUAAGUAGGUAAAUAUGUGUUCUAGUGCUUGCUUUUGUUUUUAAGAAAAUUAAAUUUGCCUAACAUUCAAGAAUAUUUAUUAAAUCAAGCACAUUAAUUAUUAUAGUCAUAAUCAAAGUUUGUUGAUUGUGUCUAUAAAUUGUUUAAUGUUGACAUUAAAAAUUGCUUCCAUAGCUGUAGUAGUUUCUCUUUUCUUUCAGCUUAUAUUGCAAUUAUAUAGUCCCAUGAUUUGGUGGCUUACAUUGAAUAAUAAACAAAUAGUGUAAAGAAAGAUUGGUAUAUUUACUUCAGACUAAAUACAUCAAAACUUAAGAUAUAAGAGUAUUGACGUGCGUGUAUGUAAAGACUCUUUUGAUUAUGGAGGCUUUACUUUUUUAACAAUGGAAUAAAAAGAUACAUUAAUAGAGGCUAUAUAUAAACAAAACCAAAACUAGCUACACCUACAUAGGAGAUUAUUUUCAUUAUAAGAAGCCAAAAUGCAAUCUGAACAUGAAAAACGUUGUUUAGACAAGACAUAUAUGAGACCAACCCAAGCAUAACUUCUACCGGACCGACGGCUUAAAGAAAGAAAUGAUCAGAAGUAUAAGAGAAGAGCUUGAAGAGAAAUGACCAUCCUUGAAAAAGGGUGUCACAGAUUUGUCUUUUUGGCAACAUGAGUGGAACGGUCAUGGGAAAUGCAGUGCUUUUUCUCAACUAGAUUACUUUAAAACGGCUCUGAAACUAUUUGAUGAUGUUAGUUUAUUGAAACUGCUAGAGGAAAACCAAUAUGUUCCAACUCUUCCAAGUCAAAAGAUUUGGAUUAAACUUCAACCUUUUGCAACCACAAUUAGGUCCAAUCUAAAACUUCCUAUGAUAAGAUGUAUUGGUUGGAACCAAAAACGCCUGCAUGAAGUAGACUUCUGUGUGGAUCCUGAUAAUUUAGAAUUGAUUAAGUGUCAAACAAAACGCCCUCCUCUCACAUAUUGUGUUCAUAGCAAAAAUGUUGCAUAUGAAUUUAGAUGGGUUUUAUGGGCACCACCCAGACCACAAUCCAACCCACAUGAUGAAAUGUAAGAAGUUGUCUUUUAUUUGUUAUUUAAUCAUGUAUCUUUAAUUAAUGUAAUCUCAUUUCAUGUAAUCUUAUCUAUCUUUAAUUAAUACAAUCUUCUUGUUUUUAUUUCGGUUGUGGAAUUGUUUUGCUUUAAUUUGUUGAUUUAAGUUAUUUAGUUAUAGCCAUUGGAGAUGUUUUUAUUGAUAUCAAAUAUUGUAUCAUCCCCUUUAGAAAAAACAAAACACAUUUUUCAAAUGUUAUAAAAAAAUUACAUUUUUUUUUCUCUGAUUCAUAAAAAAGUACGUAACGUGACUAGUUGUAUUCUAUAAUAUAUUUUUUCUUGCAAAGUGACAUUGAAGAUGAAGUAGAUAAGCCAUGUGAUUCAUUCAAAGUGCCACCAUCAGAGACCAACCAAACUUGUGAUAUUGGUGAAUUUAAUCCACGAGUGUUAAUACUCCUAGUCCUCAUUUUCGUGUCCUUCAUAUUUUUUGAUCAAUAUUUUGUUUUUGUAGAUCCUGUAAUACUUCUUAUAAUAUUAAUCUUCUUAUGUGUUGUAAUUAAGUAGGUUAAUAUGUGUUCUAGUGCUUGCUUUUGUUUUUAAGAAAAUUAAAUUAGACUAACAUUCAAGAAUAUUUAUCAAAUCAAGCACAAUAAUUAUUAUAGUCAUAAUCAAAAAAUUUCGAUUGUGUCUAUAAACUGUUUAAUGUUGACAUUGAGAAUUGUUUCCAUAGCCGUUGUAGUUUCUCGUUUCUUUCAGCUUAUAUUGUAAUUAUAUAGUCCCAUGAUUUGGUGAAUAAUGUUUCUUUACACUUUUUGUUUAGUGUUGAAUGGUUCUUCUGGACUAUAUACAAUUGAUGUAUUUACUUCAAAAUUUAAAGCAUAAACAGAGGCUUUACUUUUUCAACAAUGGAAUAAAAAAUAUACAUUAACAGAGGCUAUAAACAAAUCCAAAACUAGCUACACCAACAUAGGAGAUUUUUUUCAUUAUAAGAAGCCAAAAUUCAAUAUGAACAUGAAAAACGUUGUGGAGCCAUUCAUAUUAGACAAGACAUAUAUGAGACCAACCCAAGCAUAACUUCAAAGCAAAAUUUAUUAAAUAAUGGGAGACAAAGGGUAGUGGAAACCGGGGUCUUUACAUCAAUAUGCAGUCCUAAUUUUACGAUAAAGUAACAAACAUAACAUAAGAUAAUGAUGCCUUUUCAAGCUUGCCUUAUAUCCAUAUCAAGCUUCUAACUUUGAUCAAUUCCACAACCUCUUUUAACACUAGUCAUAGAUUCCCAGCAUUCACGGAGUCGGGACAAAGUCCAAAUUCAAUCUCGGUAUUUUGAAUUUUAUUGCAUUUUUUUGGACCAAGAUCAAACGACCACUGAUGUCCCGAAUGCGUGAAUGCAGGAUCUACCCACAGCAGGGAAUACAAAUUCAAAUGAAAACCAUCAAAACAUGGUUAUCACUUCUCAGUAAUCUUGACCUUGACUCAUACAUCAUAACAACAAGCAUAAGAAAGACAUUACCGCUACAAAACAACUAAACAUAGCAAAAAUAUACAAGAUCACAUUUUAGAUUUAUACUAAUUAUUAGGCAGCCAAAAUUGGAACCCUCUUAUGCCCUAUAAAAUGCUGCUUAAGCAUAUGAUAGUUAUUUCUAUAGUGCUCAAGUGAGAAACAUAGUUGCCGGAUCGCCUCGCGCUUCUCUUCAGCUGCUUCUAAGAUCUCUGUUUUUUGCCUCUCCACCUGUUCCUCGAGAUUCUUUGCUUUUGUUUUAAUCUCUUCUACUUGUCUACAUGCUUCUUCCAAAGAAGAAAUCAGUUGUACAUGUUCAAUAUGUAAAUCGUUCAAAUGGCGGUCGAGACUUCCAAUCCUACCGUCUCUCGAGUUCACAUCUUCCUUGAGUGAACCUACUUCUACAUUGAGGUUAUCUUUCUCUAGUUUUAAGUUAUCAAGGCUUACAUUGAGAUCCUUUAUGUUGUUCUCUCUCUGCUCGAUUUCUGCCUUUAGCAACUGGAUUCCAUUUUUCAAUUCUGCCUCCAUCUCUAUCUUUUCUGAUUGAAUGUUUCUGAUCUGCUCUUCAAAUGAUCGACCACGGCUUUCCCAUUCUCUGAUCAGCUCUUUUAAAUGUGUCUGUUCUUCCAACAGCUUUGACAUUUCGGCCUUCAAAUUAGCUUUCUCGGGGAAGAUUUUCUGCUCGGCAUCAGAUACGGCCGUUUUCAAGUCCCUGAUCUCAUGAUCCCGGUCCGAUAAACUAGUCUUUAACCUCGCAAGUCUUUCUUGAAGUUUCGUGCUCUCUCUUUUCUCGCUGUUGAAUUUGGUUUUCCAAGUAGCAACAUCCUUUUUAGCCGAGUCAAGCUGAUCCUUCAGCUGCUGAAUUCUAUCUGAGGAUUUAUUUACCUCGGUGUUCAGUGAAGCAACUUGCGUUUCGGAAGCCUUUAAAUUUUCUUUAGUGAUUCGAAGCUCCUCCCUGAGUGAGGCUGUGCCACCACUUGACUCGAACAAUUCCUUAUCCACGCCAUCAACGCUUCCUUCAACUUCCAACUCAACACCAACAUCCAUAUUUCUCGAAUCUAAGGAUUUGUAGUUUUCAAGUUCAGUCCUAAGUUUAGUGAUUUCUUCUUCUGAAAGUCUUAACUUUUCAUUUACAAUCAUCAAUUCUUGUUCGUAUGCAUUAAUUUUGGCAUAAACAUCGUCGGCAUUCUCAUGUGUCGCCCCACUAGAUGAAACUGAAACCUCUGCAUGUUCUCCUUCCUGUGUCCAAAGCUUUUCUUUUACCUCGCGCAGUUCAUUUUCCAACUCGUUUAUUCUUCUGUUCAUCCCUGGAUCAGUACCAUUCCGAGAGAAAGCUGAAUAAUUGUUAACCGAUGAAUCAUCAGAUUCAUCCUCGGAACCUGUCAUAGUAGAGGACUCAUCUUCUCCAUCUUUUUGGCUUAUAUCAGACGCAUUCCCACCAGUUCCAAGAAAGAAAUCAAACCCGGCAGCCCGGUUGCUUGAUUUACGAUGGGUCACGUUUGGAGAGGGCAAAGUUGAGGGCGGUUCAGAGCCAGUGUCUGAAAAACCUGAGCCUUGGGAUUGGAGAUCAGAUUGUACAUUCUUCCGCAAUUCUCCAGUCACAUGAUCGUAACGUUCGGCCAAUGAUCGGUAACCACGGUAGAACUCCUCAACCAAAGCAACCAAUUCUGGCCUCUUCUUGUAAUACAUUUCUGCUUUUUUGGCAAAUGAAUCUGCAUCCUCUUCUAUCAACUUCAACAUCCGUUUCACAUUCCUAUCCAUUUCUGAGGUUAAAGAUAAUUAACAUUCUAUUUACCAACAAAAAAACUAUUAAAGUAGAUAAUAAUCAUUUAAACCAGAGUUAUGAAGCUUUUGCCAAAACCACAGAGGCUCGGCUCACCGUAAUUCUGACAAUCUCACAUACAUCCACUAACAAACUCUUAAAAAACAUUUGCCUAUAAAAUGAAGAUAUAAAUAAGAACAUUUGCAAUUGUAGUUGUUAAGCUAACCUUCAAGAUUUUCAAAGAGCCAUUUAGAAUUCUUGGGACUGAUAUGACUAUCCCACCACCAAGAAUGUGAUUUCCUUGAUUCCAACCUCUUCAUUUGCUUGCUAGAAUUAACCUAAUGUAACAAAAGAACAAUCAUUAUUAUGUGCAAAUUAACUUAAAGAACAUAAAUAACACAUGCAAUUACAUAAACUUAUCUAAAGUUCCAUAACACUUACCCCAGAAGCAGCCAUUUUCCAGAGCAGCUACUACCUACCUCCUCAAACUCUGAUAUUGACAAUAAUAAACACAAAACAGGAAACAUAUAAAAACAAUUAAUCAACAUUAAGAUGCAUUUAUAAACUAACAAUAAAAAUUAAAUGUUACAUCAAUGUGGACCACACCUACAUGGGCCUGUAUUCCACUGACCCAGGCCCAGAACGAAAAGACGUAGACAACAAACAGUAAAAUUGAACAAGACAAGAAGUGUGAGUUUUGCCCGGACAAUCUUUAAAUUGUUAACAACAUAUUUUCUAACACAUAUUUUUUCUACGUGUUAAAAUUCAUAUGAUAGUUCAUAUAUGAACUUCAAAUGAUUUAAAACACCGAGAAAAAAGAGAAUGCGUUAGAAAAUAUGUUUAAAAAUUGUAAGUAAAGUAACCAUUUUAUAUUAUUAUUAUCUUUCAGAAACAACUGGGUUGUGUAAGAUACAGCUAUAUCCACGUGUCGUAUCACGUAAUCACCGCUACAAAACGUGGUUGUUGACUAGUUGGUUGCAUACGUAUUAUUUUAUUUUUGAACAAAAAAAAAUCUGUGUCAAAGAAAAAAGGUUAUAUAUUUGUUUAUCAUAAUAGUAACUGUUUAUGAAUAUAUAGUUGACAAAUUAUGAUAUUUCAAAAAACAAAUUAUUAUAUGAUAUUUGUGUAACUUUAUAGAUUUUGUCUUUUUUCUUUUAUGGAAGUUUCAUUGAUUUUGUCGAAAAAUCCAAAACUGGUGUUUUCUUAGGAUAGUUGAUAAGAUUCAGACAAAGAUAAGAACCAUAUGACAAGGGAUUUCAUUUCAUGAAAUAAAACAAAUUACUUAUCAGUGUCAUUUCAUAAGUAACAUAUUUCAUCUAAGACAAAUACAAAAACAGCUGAAUUUUGGAGAUGAUAAUAAUAAUAAAAUGAGAAAACUAUUAGUAGAAACUCAAGAUAGAAAAAAUAUAAGUGAUUUGCAAUAAGAGAAAAAGAGUUUAGUUACCUGAAAGAAGCUGAGAGAUUAAGCAAUGGAUCUAGGAACAGGAAGAGGGAGAGAUUUGAGGAGAGAGGUUUGGUUUGUAUGUGGAAUGUCAAAGUGUUAUAAAAAUAUAUGAAGAUGUUGAAGUGAUACUUGUAUUAUUAUGUAAGGUGGGGACAUAUAGGAAAAGAAAGUGGCCGGGAAGGAAGGUCUUUGUAGUUUGUCUAUUCUAUUUAAUGUCCAUUAACAUCCCAUUACUCCAUUCUCCCUCUCCUUUUAUUUAGUCAAUUCCUUCUUUUUCUUUUUCUUGAAAUUAUAUCAUAGUACUUCAAAUGCAAUGAUAUUUUCCUUUCAAAAAGAAAUGCAAUGAUAUUUCUAUUGAAAAAACCAAAACCAAGUUUCGUGUAUCUUCCUCUCAAAAAAGAUAAGUUGCAUGUGUCUUGAAAAUAAGAUCUUAUUUGAUUUUAUAAAGAGUGAUAUAUUUCACCUUAUAAAAUAGAUUUAUAUGGAUGAAUUAUGCUCAAUAUAUGAACCUAAUAAUUUCAACACAUCUUAAUUUUUGUUGGGACUUCUGGAUAGCUUUAACAUUAUGAUUAAUCAUCACAUUUGGUUAAGAACAAUCACACAAGUAAGUUUGGAGACUAAAGUAAGUAUUCAUUUGGUUUCACAUCAAGUAGCGGGAAGAAAAAAGAUGUGGAGUUAUUAUAAAUAUGAAGGGUUGGUUUGAGUUUUCUUUACCAAAACAACUCUAGUGUUUUGUAGGAGCAAAGGGUGGCUUAAGUUAGGUUGUAUGUGACUCGAUCCCAGCCCUCGCAUUAGAUUUGGUCAAUUUGGGAGAAAAAUAAUACUCUCUCCGUCCCUUUUUAUAAGACUACUUUACAAAAAAAGUUUUGUCCCUAAAUAUAAGAUUAGCUACAAAUUUUUAAAUGCAAUUAUUACUCUUUUUCCAAAUACAUUUCUCAUUAAUAUUAUCAAUAUACCUUGAAAUAUGAAAAGUUAACAUUAAAAUAUCUCUAUAGACUCCUUCAAAAAAAAUAUCUCUAUAGACAAAGGGUAAUUUGGUAACAGUAACAUACGUUUAUGACAAAUUUAUUACUUCAAACACUUCUUAAUACCCGCAAUUUUUGUAAAUCAUAUAUCCUCUACGCGCAACAAGCAUAGCGAUGACUAAUCUCUCCGGUUUUAGGAAACUUAAAUGGAUGACAAACUCUACAAAAGAUAUAUAUGUUUUGUUCUUCAUUUGUUUGGUUAUCUUGUAUUGGAGUCGUUUGGCAAGAAAGAAACGCUCGAAUCUUUCAACAAAAGGAAACUCUUAUUCAUCACCUUCUUGAGAAAGUUAAGCUCCAAUCUUUCUGAUGUUUGAAAGCAAAUCACUCUAAUUUUGCUUUUAGCUAUCAUAUAUGAUGGUUUAACCCUUCUCUUAUGUUUAAUAGUUACUAUUUAAUCUGUUAAAAAAAAAAAAAAAAAAGUUACUAUUUAGCAAGCAGUUUGUUGGCUCUGAUUUGUGUUCCUUUCCUAGUGAACUUGUAUUAUGGCUCAUGUUGCUUUUAAUCUUUUUUGGAUCGUUGUUGUAACUGUUUUUUCUUCCUCUGUCUUUCUUAAUCCUCCUUGUGCAGUAAUAACUAAGAAGUACAAUUAUAUAAUUUAGGCUAAAAUAUGGUUUUGGUCCCUGCAAAUAUGUUUCGUUUUAGUUUUAAUCCCUGUAAAAAAAAUUGUUGUUUUUGGUCCCUGCAAAUAUGCCUCAUUUUGGUUUUGGCCCGUGGCUCCACUUUUGUGAUGAUUUGCACACGUGGCACAUGAUGACUGAACCCAUUUAUUAGAGAAAUAGUCCUUGCAAAAUCUUUUGAUUUUGCAGAGACCAAAAACAACAAGAAUUUUUUACAGGGACUAAAACCAAAACGAAACAUAUUUGCACGACCAAAAUCAUAUAUUAGCCUAUAAUUUAUUUUAACUUCUUCAAACAAAACUUUCCAACAACAAAAAAAAUUAGCAGUCUUGCAUGUUAGACAAGCAAGCCCAACUUUUUGUUUUAGGUCGAAUAUAUGACUCAAUUUUCUUCUUAAAUAUUAAAUUUGUUAAUUUACCUUCAUAAACACCUCAAACCAACCUAAAUGGAUUCUCUCCAUAUUGAAUAUUGUUUAUUGCCUUUUCAUAUUCAGAAAAAAUCUCAAUCGUAUAUAUUAUGAAAAAGAAAAUAUCUCAAUCAUUAAAAAAUUGACAAAAUCUCAAUCAUUAAAAUUGUUGUUUCCAUAUUGCCGCGUUGAAAUUCAAAAUAGUAGUAAAAUUUAGGAACCGAGUUUAAAGAGCGUGAAUGAAAAAUAUAAACAAAUGUGCCGUCCAGACUACAAGGACAUUCAACAUAUAAUGCUGUUUUUAGUUUUUUCAACACCUGUUUGGAAAGACGUUUCCAACACAAAACGUGCAUAUCCACACCAACCAAAGCAAAUAAAGUGCUGUUGUUUGUUCUCCCAUCCAUUAUUUUAAAAAAUACAUGAAAGUAACUAAAAAAAAUCAACGAUGGUUAACUAUCAUUAAUUUCUUUCUAAAAAAACUAUCGUUAAUUUUCUGCUUUGAAGUCAGCGGUAGUUAACUACCAGUGAAGAUUUUCAUGUGUUUCUUAAAACAAUGGAUGUGAGAACAACAACUUUCAUAUAAAUAUAUUGUGAUUUCAAGAAGCUAAUAAUUAGAGCUUCUAUGGUACUGUAACCAGUUUUUUUCCUGUGAUUUUGAACAAAAUGUGGAUAUCCAAACACAUACUUAGUAUAUGCAUUUGAGUUUCAUCGUUAGACUUUUUCGAAAAGAAAAAAAAAAAGAAUGAACAUAAUUAGAAUUUUUCACACUCUCUCAUUUUGAUUUCCAUUAUAAACAACAAAAAACAUGUCAUGUUAAUUGAAAAUGGAAGUUAAUUUAUUUAAGUUUUUGCUUGUGUCAUAAAAAUAAAGAAACUGAAAUCAAUGAAAUUGUUUUAGGAACAAUAUCAUUAGUUAUAGUAAUAAAAUCGGUUGACAUUUACAUAUAUUUUACAUCACCAAUUCUAUUUUAUAUUCAUAUAUUUGAACGAUGUGAAAUAAAAAAUUGGCAUGAUUAAUGAGUACUAGAAUUCACUAGCUGCCACGAGGAUUUAAUUUCACGAGAGCUUAAAUCAUCAUCUUCCAGCCAGCUUAACUUAGCUAAGUCCUACUAAAUAUUUUAAUCUUUUUCAAAUUCCCUCCUUUAGACUUUCAAAUUGUAUUACGCGGUAUUUAGCUAAUCAAAAGACAAAUUGGCCCUACAAGAAAAUAUAUUAUUCCUUCCGUCCAAUAAUACUUGACAGAGUUGACAUUAUUACGCAUCUCAAUGCAUAACUUUGAGCUUCAAUAUCUUGAAUAAUAUAUUAGAAAAAAUUAUGAAAAUUUGAUAUUUUGAAAAUACUAAUCGAGACGAAUCUAACGACAUCUUAUAUGAUAGUAUUUAAUUUUGUAUAUUAGUAUCUCUCAAAAAAAAUCUUUGUAUAUUAGUAGAAAAAUACGGUCAAAGUAAAUUAGAUCAAAAUUGCACAUUUUCAAAUGGAUUAUCUAUUGCGGAACGGAGGGAGUAGUUGACACUAUCUUUUGACAUUUUUAAAAAUGUUAUUAUAACAUAUAAAUGAAAUAGGAUGUCCUAUAAAGUAAGAUUCUACAAAAUUUCAAGUUAAAUCUCAAAAUAGAAUUAAAUACUAUUGGUCUACUCCCUCCGUCCCAUAAUAUAAACAAAAAAAAAAUCAUUUUCUUUAUCCUAAAAUAUAAGCAAAAAAGACAAACAUUUAUCCUAUUUAAUCUUGUUUUUAAAAAAAAUCUGUUUUCCAAGAAAUUUUUUUGUUUAUUCUCAUAAAAUUAAAUGCAAAUUACAUUUAAUUUUCUCUCUCUUUCAUAUUUUCCAUAACCAAUAGUCAAUGAAAAUUGUUUUUACAUCUUCCUAUGAAACUUUUUUCAAAGAAAACACAAAACAUUAUACUCCAAAUUCUUACUAUGAUUUAGUUUGUCUAUUUAAAAAUAUGUCUGAAAAACAUUAUACUUUUUCGAACCGCUCCUCAUUUAAGAACUUGUAAUGAUUGAGGCAUCUCCUCUCGACCUUUGGGAUGUUCGUGGACGAACCAUGAUGAUUAUGAGAAUGGAGAAUAAUGAUAUGAUGAUUUUGUGAUGGAAAUGAUUAAAAAUUGCUAAGAACCAUGAGAUUUUUUAGUGAGGAGUUGAUUGAAUUCGUACAGCCAUUUAUAGACUUGGUGAAUGCACCUUGCACAUUGCUAUGUGUGCACCGUGCUCUACACCGUACUUGAUAAAAGUAUUGAUUAUUUUUCCUAUUAGUUUUCUCUAAUUUAAAAAACAAAAGUGGCAGAAACUUGCACCGGGAAGAUUCAAUUGCAAUAUUGAUGCCUCUUUUUCUUCUUUGUGGAAUCGUACUGGCAUCAGGAUUUGCUUACGUGAUGAUGUUGGCACCUACGUGCUUGCCCAAACUGUGAGCCUAUCCACAAAAUACUCGGUGAAUGUUGGCGAAGCUCUUGGUUUGCUACACGCACUACAAUGGUUGGCAGACAUGCAAUUCGAUAAUGUUGAUUUUGUGGCGGACUCAAAGGUAAUAGCUGAUGCUUUCAAUUCUCAUCGUCUUGAUGUUACAGAGUUUGGUCACGUCAUCUUAGCAUGCCGGCAUCUUUUUUCAUCCUCAUUCACAAACUCUAGGGUGGCGUUUAAUCGGAGACAAGCAAAUGUGUCGGCUCAUAUUCUUGUUGGGGAAGCCACUUUAGCAGCUAGUCCCAUAGUUUAUUUUGAAGUACCCGAUUGUAUCAAUUAUGUUAUUAGUAAUGAAAUGCUUUGAGCAUCUUUUCUUAAAAAAAAAAUAUAAAAAAAAAAAAAAAAAAGUAAGCCAUUCCCUUUAUUAUACAUACACCAAAAGAGAAUAUAAACUUCAGGAAAGGACGGGUUUGCUUGGAAAACAUGUAAAGAGGCGUGGAAGUGUAUUUGCAAAACCAUGGUGCAAAUAGCAUCUCCCAUACAACCUUCUACAGUCUACACACGGCCCACUUUUAAUGAAACAAUUUCUUAACAACAAUAUUUGAAACAAUUUCUUUUAAUGAAUAUACUUUUUUUUUUUGGAAGGAUUUUAAUGAAUAUACUUGAUCGUUAAAAUUUGUUAGCAUAGGAGGACGAUGCAAUCAUGGAAUUCCACCUCUUAAUUUCCGACAGAAUGCUCCAAAACAUGUUUCAUUAUGCAAAGCCUCCAUUAAGUGUUCCCUUGUUUGUAUCACAAAUGCUUGAUACUUGAUUCCAUAUUCUAAGCAUAUGCCAAAAAUAACAAUAUUUUUCCUAGUUUUAAUCUCAACAAAUAUUGUUCUAAAACAAGAUAUAAAUAAGUGUCCAUUGAAAGCACAACAUAGAUAAUGCAAACCCAACAUUCAUUCACAGGCACAUAAUCAACUAAGUGACCUUAAUUUGAUCAUUAAGGAAUAAUGAAGAAUGUAAAUAGCAACUUCCUUAUUAGCAUUUAUGUUGGGAUAUUAUUCUUCAUGCUCUUCAACCUUGCCAAUGCUGAAAGUAACGAAGAAUGUAAAUAGCAACUCCCUUGUGUCAUAAUUUUCUUUUCCUUUUGUUCCUUCUCAAUGGUGUUUUUUUUUUCUUUUUAGAAACUAAAUAGUUAUUGAACUACAAUUUGAAGGGAAAAAAACUCUUACAAUUUUUUUUAUUUGUUUCAUUUCAGAUAUAAGGCAACCAAGAAGACAUGUCAAUCUAAGCCCUUUUGAUAGUUGGAGGAGUGCUUACUAUUGCAUGAUGAAUGUAAUUAGCAAAUAAAUUUUUGUUUGGAUGAGUAUUUGUUAGAAGUAGUUUUGAAUUAAAUUUGCAAAAGUUUGGUAUAAAAUUUAGUGUGAUAAAAAGUUAUUUUGUAUUACUUUUAAUCAAAUUGAUAUUUGGAAAUAAAAACAAAUACCUAUUAUCAAACAAUUUUUUUUUACUAAAACACAAGUUUGACAAACGCAAAAUAAUUUGGAUUUUAUGUAAUCCGAACCCUAUGUAUGCAUGCAGUCAUCCACAUCAUGAUCGUUUGUUUAAUGCGAUUCAUUUUUCAAUUUUUUUUAUUAAAAUUUAGAUUGUUCGAUAAUGAUUUGCCGUCUAAAUAUUUUUGACUAUGCACAAUUCAAAUUCAAAUAAAUUAUGGUAUUUAUCUCCGUGAAACAUUGUCUAUACAUGUCUCUUCUACACACAAUCAUAUAUGUCUAUGCUUUUUAAAAUUUUCUCCUUGAUUACAAUAUAAUAUUGCUUUUGAUUAUUAUCAGUGAACAUAUGUGUAAUCUCUUCACUCCAUAUAAUAACAAUGCUUACUUCAAAAUGUAUGUAGCAUUCAAACACUUGCAACCUCAAAUCCAAUAAUUACACAAUCAAUAUAAAUGGUACUCUAAACGUGCAAGACUCUGAUAUCCAUGACUUCUGUACGGGUGGUUGCUAUGAUCACACACUUUUGGUCUUCAAAUGCAUCCAAGAUGUCAAGAGAGACUUCCAUUUUGCGACUAAAGCACACAUCUCAUUUGUCAAGAAUAUUACUAUGAAUGCUUGCAAUGAACUUAAAGGUAACAUCAUAAAGUUGGUUAGAAUGAAUUUUUUUUAUUAAUCUUUGGGCUCAAGAUAACUUUUUAUUUGGUACUUUUGAUUAUGUAGGUUUUGAUUUAUUAAACUAUAAGGAUCCUAACAGUGCCACAAGUUUGUAUGGGAGAAUGUAUAUGCCACUUCUUUCAACACUAAUGACUAUGGCCUUCAUUGUCACCUUUGGUGUGUGACAGUCUUCUAAGCCUUCUGCAAAUGGAUUAUGGAGACAAAGGAUGAGAUGGCAGAAAUGUUUUAAUUAUUUUUUUGCAUGGCCAUGUAUUUAGUUAGAUGUCCUUGUUGAUUGCAUAAAUAAAUAAAUGUAUGUUUAUGAUGAUUCCAUAUGUAUUCACGCAAAUAAAUAAGCAGCAAUGCUGUGGUAAUUUGUUUUUACUAUUCUGCUCAACGUUUUGAAAAAAGAAAAAAAAAAUGGUAUUAACCCUCCUAUUUCCAGAGAUUUGAACUCUAAUUCUCUCAAACGAUACAUCAUAAAGUUUAUUAACCUCUUGAGCCUAAUUGUUUAUGAUUUCAUAUCAAAGCAUUUUUUAUUAAAUAGUCAAAAACUCCCCAACGUUGCUUCAUUUUCGAACUUAUAAUUAAAGUUCAAUCUCACCUAGGUGGAUACCACUACCAAAGUUCAAGCUUUUAACUUAAACUUUUUCCUUCAUCUAAUCGAACUCUAGAUUCUUCUAAACAAUUCAUUUCUUUGGAGUUUAUUAACCAUUUGCACUUUACGGUUAAAAAAAAUUGUUUAUCGUAUCAUAUCAAAACAUUUCUAUUAAAUAGUAAAAAUAAUCCCUUUGAAGUUGCUUCAUUUUCGAUCUUCCAAUUAAAGUACCAACACUAAAAUUUCAAGCUCUUAAAUUGUGCUUUAGCUUUCAAAUUUCCUAACGGUACGUAUAUAAAGCUGUCUGACACUACGUGUAUCAAUUAAGUGUACUAGUGAUUGUUUUACAUUGAUUUCAUAACACACCUCUUUAAAAAGAUUCUUCAGAUUAUGAAAAAUGUAUCUGGAAUUUCAUAAUUUUUAAUUAUACAUAGAAAAUGUAAAUUUAUUCACAUAAAUUAAUAAAAAAAUCAAUUUGGUUAGAACAAGAAAAACAUGAACAUAACUAGCAUUCAUGCAUUAUGUAUUGUACUAUAUUAUCAUGCGUAUAAAAUAUCUGCAAUGCAUGCCUGCAAAUUACUAACGUCAAAAGACCACAUUGUUAAAAUAUCUGCCCCCAAAAAAAGAAUAACAAUGCUCACCCAUUUAGAGGCAUUCUCAUAACGAACUCUUAGAAGUGAGGGUUGCAUAAAUAUGGACUACAAUUUGUGAAAAAGGUUUGUUUUCCUAAUCAGUUUCAACACAAAUAAAAAGUAAGGCCAAAUCAUGCCCCAGCAUUCCUUCUGCCAACACGAGCAACAAAACCAGCUUUGAUUGGAGCAACCGAUCUUCCUGAUCCACACUGCAAGCAGUAAACCAGCGUUUUAGAAUACUGAAUGGUAAAACAAUGGAAGCAGAUAAAAGUGAAAUAGAAAAUUCACCUUCUCACACCGGAGAAAGAAGAGACGGUUCUCCUUUGAAAGUAAUGUGUCUGGACUCUUGCAUCCAAUACAAAUGACAUAUUCAUCUGAGAAAAAGAAUGUGUAACAAUUUAAAUUGAUAUCCAUGGCAAUAACCUUAGAAGAAUGUGUAACAAAACAAUUUAAAUUGAUAUCGAUGGCAAUAACCUUAGAUUAAGAGUCUUGCAAACUUUUUGUUUAGCUUUGAUGAAUUUUUUUUAAAAAAAUACUGGAAAAUAUAUAAGCAACAAAAGCACAAAUAACAACAGAACUUUCACAUGUGCAGAACUAUCCAUUUCAGAAAUGCAGCUGAUUAUUAAACGUUAAAAACAAAUACUUACUGAUAUAUCGUCGGAGAAUUCCUUCAAAAUUCUUUGGUGCAAAUCUUCCCUUCACAACCAAUCUUUGCUGUCCAUCUAGAGAACCACUAGUACCCAGUUCAGCAAGCAAGAAAGCCAUAACAUGGUCUGGCGGUCGAUGCAUCCUGAAAGAUCAGGUAACAGUACAGCAACAGCACAUUAACAAGAGGGGAAGUAUUGAGGAUAAAAAUUCAGUUUCUGAUUUGUAGAAGGAAAAUACGGGGUAUUAUACAAGCUCAACAGGUGAAUAAAGAAUAACCAAGGGUGAUGAUAAUUAGUGCCAGAUAAAAAAAAUAUCAACAUACGAUUUGCACAGGUCCAUAAAAUUCACAAACACAGUUUUCUUUGUGCCUUCACGGAGAACUUGAGGAGGCCUCAUAACUGUCCUUCGCCGAUCUCCAGCGAGAUCUGGAUUAUGUUCACGAAGAAUGUUGAACACCCUGCCAAGAAGCUGUACCAAAAAUUGUUUAGAAUCCACAAGAAAAAAAAAAAAAAAAAAAAAAAAGCAGGGAGGAUUGGAAGCAAUUUCCAAGUAAAAACUGAAAAGGGUAGAUUGAAAAUGCUUUAGGUAAUAUUUUGAACACAGCUAGUGAUCCAAGGGAAGUGAAUUGGCUUGAUUCAACAAGGAUAAAAUGUAGAAUCCUAUAUAAUCAAAUAUUCUCUAAGGCUCAUGUUGAUCAUUAAUUAACAUGCUUCAAUUUGAAAAAUUGAAACACACGAGUCUAGACGUAAAACAUCAGCCCGUCAGAAGGCCCAAAACAGUCAAUUAAACUAUUCUGGACACAUAGAUUAAGAGAUCCACAAGAACCAGAUAAUAACUAAUUUGAAUCAUCUUGUUCCAAAAAACUAAUAUGAAUCACAGAUGAGAGGUAAAAUCAGCUCAGAAACAAUAUGGAAUUAGUUGACGAAAGUGAACAAAAAUUUGAAAUUGACAUUGAAAGAAGUUAAAUAGAUGUACAUCAGCAUAAAAAAUGGCAUACCUCCUCAUAUGUAUAAUCACGAUCACUCCCUUCCCAAGGAUAACGAGGCUGCAAAGCAACUGCUUCUUCUUCAUCAUCUUCAGCAUGAUCUAAAAGCAAUAAAUUUCACCAUAAGUUUAGCAUUCAUUAGCCUUCCCUCAAGGCAUUACUUGUAGUCAAAACGAAGCAAGUCCACUAUCAACACAAAUUAUAUUCAAUUAUAAUUUUAUUUGACUGUUUACCAUCUAAAUCUUCAACUGCCUCUGCACUAGGGCCACUCUCAUCAAUAUCAUUUAAGUUACUAAUUUCAACCUACAAUCAAAUAACAAACUUCAAGUGUCAAAUUGCAACCAAUAAAUCUAGUCGAGCCAAAUAAAAAACUUCAACUCUAGAAAAAGUGUCUUACAGGCUUCUUCUUCUUCUUUUUCAAACCAGAAAAUGCACUGUCAGUCCCAUCAGAAACUGCAAGUGAAUAGCUAUCAAUAAUCAACAUUGCCGAACCACCAUUUUCAGAUAACUUUAAAAACAUAAACCAUGCCAGGAGAUUGCUAAUGCUUAUUUGUUACUAUAAUUUACAUACCUGACAGAUUUUCUAUCUUCUCGGCCAAUUUAUCCGCUGAUUCAUCAUCUGCAGGAUCUAUAACUGUAACUUUCUUCUUCUUCUUUUUCUUAGUAGGAUCAAAUGGUGCAAUCUGCAAUUUAGUAAUACGUGCAGCAGCAGUUAAUAUAGUUACUACAAACUGGUACCAACCUUGAUUAUCAUAUAUUAGUGUCUAACAAUACAAUCAAUACAAAUCUCUGGUGUGUAUCUGUUUUGAACAUAAAUCUCAUCUUGAGUCCUGAUUCAUAUAUUAGUAUCUUACAAAAUAUACAAGUCAUAUCAUACAAACUGAAGUACCAAACUUGGUUAUAAUAUAUUAGUAUCUUACAGUAUAUGCAAGUCAUGUCUCGAUUCAAUAGUAACAAUCCAAUCAAUACAAAUCUCUAGUGUGUAUCUGUUUUGAACAUAAAUCUCAUCUUGAGUCCUGAUUCAUUGUCAUGAAUCCUGGCUAACUACAAUGCAUCCCGAUUCAUUCUAAUGAGUCACUUCUUAAACAUAGUGUAGCCAAAAACUUCUUUUUUUUCAGUUUGUAUAGCCAGACACUUUUCUUUUGUCAUUUGAUUUAUGACUUGAAUCUUGAAUCAUUGAGGUUAGUAGAUGAUACAAGGGCUUAUAGUUUUCUACGUCGGUUGUUUUUCCUAAUUUCCUUUAAAAUGUCAUUUUUUUUAUUGGUAAUGUAUCUUACAAUUGAUAAUAAGAUUCAAUUCAGGAUUCAGAAAAUAGGUCUUCCUAUUCAUAGUUUGAAAUAACCAUGGUACCAACUAAUCAAGGAGAUCUAUGACCAAGAUAUCAUGCAUUAUUAAUAAAAAAAAACAUCAUACCAAAUCACCAAUUUACAACAAUGAAAUUAAAAAAAAAAAACUGAUUAAAGAACAUCGGGCACAAUCAAAGGAAACACAGCAGUGAAACCAUUCUUAAAACCAAGGUUGACAAGCGUAGAAAGCAGAAAACAGCAGAUUGCUAAAAUUCUAUUACGCAUCAGCAACUAUUUGACAAUAUAAAUAGUGUAUCGCGGAACAAUAGCUGUAGUCCAAUUCCGCUACAUUAUAGCAGUAAAGCGCCGCUAUAGCUAUUGUUUAACAACAUUGCUUAAAACGAUUGAUAACUAUGGGGAAAAUAAACUUACGUCUGGAACCUCCUCCUUCAAACCACUUGGUGUUUCAUCUGCCAUGUUUGCUGCAAUACAGGUAACCAAAAUUAGUACAUAGGAAGAGUCAAAGAAAUAUGCAGCCAUGAAAAGUAAAGAUAACCUCUCAAAUAAGGUUAAAAAUUUUCUCUCAUUUCUUGCCAUCCCUUUCCCACUCCUCCAAACCCCCAUAAAACCCUAAAAAAAAAGUUCAACUAAACCAUCCUUUAUAUAAAACCUAAUAAUUAAAUAUGAAAAAUAAUCAAACAGUUAAUUAAAAAUUUUACAAGCUAAAUUAACAUACAUUGCGCUAAAAUAAAGAACGAAGACUCAAUUCGGUCCCUCACAAUUUUCUCGGGGCGCAAUUCAGUCUCUCAUCAGGGACAAAAUAAAUCCCUCACAAAUAACAUACCCUACUAAUGCCCAACACAUUCACAGCACAUUGGGUUUGAAAAUAGGUCGUGGAUUGAAUUGGUCAGCGAGAAAAUUGCGAGGAACUGAAUUGGGUUUAACUCUAAUUACACUGAAAAAUCAACAUGUAUAACUCCCAGAAAUUAAACCAAUUCAAAAGUAAAAAUAUAACGAUUAUCAGCUAAAUUUGUGGUCAAAUUAUCUUAUUCUAAAUUCAAAAUAACGGGUAAUCAAUAGCAAACACGAGUAAAAGCUAUAAAAAAACAUAAUCCAGAAUUGAAAUAAAUAUAAAAUCAAAGGCUUGGAUUUCAGAUAUUGAAAAAAAUCGAUGCAAGACGAACCUUUGAAAGCAGAAGCUGAGAAAACGCAGAGAAAAACUGAGAAAAGAGAGCGAAGAAAAUCGAAUCGUUUGAAACGAAGAGUGUUUGUGUCUGUAUUUAGUGGAACCAAAACCUUUUCUUUCUGCUUUAUAACGGUGCGUUUCACGUAUUAAAUGUCAUGGGCUUUUGGGUCAAUCAGAACAAGUAUCGGGCUUAGUACUUUUGUUGAGCCCAAAGUAUCUUAAAACAACCAAGUUCGAUUCCCACCGUAGUCAUUUUAUGGGAAUUCCAACCUAUAUAUUAUAAUAUACUAAUAACCAUGAGUGUCAUGUAAGCGAGGUGGGUAGUUGUAAGGACAUCUGAUUGUAGGGAUAUGGGUCCGAACAUGCGACUCCCUACUUAUCUACAUUUUAGCAUGAGAUUCUAUUUAUCAUCGGACAACAUUGUGAAACAGUGUCGCAUUGUACAUUGAAAGGAGAUAGAUGGCGCAAUAAAGUCAAGGCUUAUAUUCGAACAUUUUCCUUAGUGUCGGAUAAAUUGCUUACAAUUCUUCAAGGUAAAAUUUAGGUCUCAUCGUUUUUAUGUUGCAACUGUAAACUUUUACUCCAAUGGAUUCGACCACAGGAUGAAACUAUGCUUAAUUAGAUAGUACUAUUAGAUUAGAUAACCAUAGAUGUCAUUUUCAAACUGUUAUACCUUGGAUAAAUAUUGUCUCUUUGUAAUGGCGUGAGUUGGCCAAUAGACCAGCUUUCAAUAAAAUUGUUUUUUUAGAAGGACUUUCAAUAGAAUUGUUUUAUAAAUAAGAAUCGAUUUCAUUAUUAUAACUGCUUUUCAAUAGAAUUGUUUUAUAAAAAGAGAUUACGUGGGGUACAUUUAUACAAACAGUAUGAUUGUGUGCGUUCUAACUUUAAUAAUGCAAUGCUUUGUCAAAAAAAAAAAAAAAAACUGUAAUAAUGCAUGCAUAAUAAUGAGAUAUUUCAAUUAUUGAACUCUAGAAAAGUUUGUUUACAUAUUUAUAAAAUCAUCCAAAUCUAUUUUCAAUAGUAUGUCAUAGAUCUUACUAUCCAUGUAGUUGGAAAAAUUGGUAAUUUGUGCAUCUUGUGAAUGUUAUUAUGUUCAUCAGGUCUCUAGCCCUUAUUACCGGUUCACUUUUAGUUAUAUAGUCAAUGAAGUCAAAUUAACAACAUCACCCAAACACAAUAGAGGGUGUGUGCUCCAUUGGUGGUGAAGAUCAAAAGCAAAUUCUCUCACCUUUGAUUUGAUGCAUGACCAUGAUAAAAAAAAAUAAAAAAUUGUCAUGCCAAUUUGCUGUUGAAUAUUGUCCUAUUUUGUAGACUUGUAGCCCGUAUAAUAAUACAUGAAUUCUAUUAAUUUUAGUUAUUAAAUAUAGACUAUAAAAAUUAAUUCUAAGAUAUACUCACAAAGCCUUGGGUAAAAAACAAAUAUAUAGAGACUUGAAACAGUUUCAGGGCGAUAUAAUUCAUAAUAUGUAUUACUGAUAAUGCCUACUAUAAAAUCAUUGAAGGAUCCUUGAGGAAAUGUGUUUCAGUUCUCUUAUAUGAAUACCAUGCAAGAUUUUUUAAUCAAGACGGAAUUAUAAACAUGGAUUUGAAAAAUGAAUUCAAAUUCUCGCGACUGUUGAUGAGAAAUCUCAUACUAAAUUGCAUGAUUUUGCAUUCAAAUGUCUUGUACCAGGGUUAACACUCAACAUAGCUCAUUAAGAUACAGGGUUCAAACUGUUAGAAAUUUAAUUCACUAGUUUCUAUGUGCUAAGCUCACUAAAAUGCACAUAAUAGUUGAAAGGAUACAAUGGUAAUAAUGUUAUACUCCAAAAAAUUGUACAAGAGAACCCUGUUAUUCACAAAGCUCAAUUUUUGCCUUCAAAUUUGAAGGGCAUUAGCAAUUGACCCUGCUAAACUCAAUACUUCAAAAGGAGCUUGAUUCGCUAGAGCUUUGACUGUAACUGGGCAAGAAUCUGUGAUCCAAAAGUAGGCAAAUGCCUUCUCUGAGGCUUCUGCAAGUUACAAGAUAAAAUCACAAUAACAUUCAAAUAUAUGAAAAUAUAGCAAUGUAGAAGUUGAUGAGAUUAAGCUACGACUAACCAUCUUUGUGAGUGAAUCGCAACCAUGAUUGGUUAGGGAACACGCCAUGUGUGACAUAGGCACUCACUUUUGCUGCACCAUUGGCUGCCAAAACUUUCUGAGGGAAAAAAGAGAGAAAUGUUAAGUUGUAUUUAGAUGCAGACACAUACAUUGAUAAUCGGCAUAAGUUGGUGUGCAUACACACGCAUAUAGAGAUUGAGGGUCUAUUUGGUUUGAGAAAUGCUCUAUUUUCAUUUUCACCUUCCACUUUUAAUUAUAAAAUUACCAUUUUUUUUUUUCAUUCUAUUUACCAUUUUAAAAAUUUUGUACCAGAGUCGGUGGAGGAAAAAAAACUUCUAUUUCCAUCGUUUCUAAUACAAAUAUUUAAAAAAGAAAAAAAAAAUGAAAACAAUACAACAAUCUUGUAAUUAAAAACGUAAAAAAAAAAAAAAAAUGCUUUCUCAAACAAGUCUCAAGUGUUGGCAAUUUCCGGUUGGCAAACUCAAUCGUAAUAAUCUUCAAAGAUAUACAAAAUCUUUUUGAACAAGUAUACAUCUUUUGCGAUUAAGAAAUUAAUAGGUUACCUGACACUCGAUUAGGGUGCCUCCAGAUUGGACUAAAUCAUCAACAAUCACAACAUGAUGACCAGAGACAUGACCUUCCUUGAGCCUAACUAUCCUCUUGUCACCUUCACGUACCUUUGUACAUACAACCUGCCACUCCAAAAAUUCAGACAACUAUAAACAAAUUAAAUACAAAUUAAAUACACAGAUACUUAUGGGAGACCGACCACUGAAUAAUUGUCGAACAGCUUAUGGAAUCGCUUCCAUGCACCGUCAUCUGGAAAUGCAAUGACUACCUGAUCAUAACAAUAAUAAAUUAAGACUGCAGGUAUGUAAAAUUUGCAAUGAAAUAUAGAAAGUACAUUGUUUUAGGUUUUAACAUUUUUUUGUUUAAUAAAGGUGACGACGGAAAAAAUGCAAAAUUGUUUAAGAAAGGUGACUGAAACAAUGCAAAAUACUCACAUUAUCAGCAUCAGGAAGUUGUAGCAGACGUUGCUUUAGGAGAGGAAUACCAGUCUCAAACAAUGGCAAAACCUCAUCUCCGAAAUAAAACCUCUCCUGUAUAAUUUCAAAUCAAAAGUACUAAUAAAACCUAUAGCACACUGUUAAAAUAUCAAAUACAUGGCCUAACCGUGCUCCUAAAACGCAAUAAGUCUCUACAAAGAAGCAAUUAUCUCCUAAAAGUUUAAGAGAGAAUGUUAUAAAGAAAAUUUCAAAAGUUUAUCUAUGUUGCUACGUUUUUUUUUUUCUUUUCGAAUCUGCUAAAUUUUAUUAAGCUGAACUAGGUGUAAGACACACCUAAGAAUGCACAGGACCGAACAAAAUACAACCGGUAUAAAACACGGCAGCCCCAAUAACAGCAAAAACAAGCAGAGAACUGCUGCUGUAACAACUAACCCAGCCAAACCAAUACACAGUUCCGCAAACACCAGCCAACCAGCACCCCAGAAACCAAAAAGCCAGGCCUACUGCAGUUGUUUUAACAGCAGAACUGCUGCAUUAACUGUUAAAAAACCAGGAAAAAAGGUUGCAGCCGAUACAGAAGUUCAGCACUCCCAAAAAGCAACACCCCAAUUAUCUCUGUAAACAUUCCUUUGGGUCCCAACACCAUUCAUAGAAAAGGCACGCCCAAAUUUUUAAACGAGUUAGACACCACCGACAAGACAAAACUCUAAUUUCCUCCACAAUCUCAUCCCACCUAAUAACCGUACUAUUAAAAAUACAAUUAUUUCUAGCUUUCCAAAUAACCCACAAAGUUGUAUGCCAAAUUAACCGCAAACCUUCUCUAACCUUCUUAUUAGUUGUCAAGCCACUCCAACAUGCCCAAUGAAUAAACAUAUUCGGAGGCGUCACCAAAUUCCCUUCCACCCAUGUGAGAAGCUCCGCCCAAAUCCUAAAAACCACACCACAAUGAAGAAACAGGUUGUUCACCGAUUCCCCCUCCGAACCACAAAGCACACAGUUCAGCGAGACAUCCGCUGCAACGCCUACGAGAAAGGUUGAGACACGUAGGUAUACGGUUAAGAAGGACCUUCCAAGAGAAAGCCACCACCUUGGAGGGAGCCAGACUCUUCCAAACUUGACCGAAAACCUUCUUCUCUUCCUCUCCCAUUGUCACCGUUUGGCUCUCCAUCGAGACCAAUUUCUUAUAGGCCGACUUCACAAAAAAAACUCCCCCCUCCUCCAAUCUCCACGCCCAUCUAUCUAUCCCCUCGGUUCGCACAUUCCCAUUUAAAACCUCCAACAAAUUAUUAAGAAGUUCUUCCUCCCACACAAAAAACCGACGACGCCAAUUAAAAGUCCACUCUCCCCCCAAGUUAGCCUACGUAUGACGUGUAAGUCAUAUUAAAUUAGAGCAAUACUAAUAUAUUCAAUAGGAAAGGAAUACCAGUCUCAAACAAUGGCAGAACCUCAUCUCCGAAAUAAAACCUCUCCUGUAUAAUUUCAAAUCAUAAGUACUAAUAAAAUCUAUAGCACACUGUUAAAAUAUCAACUACAUAGCCUAACCAUGCUCCUAAAACGCAAUAAGUCUCUACAAAGAAGCAAUGAUCUCCUAAAAGUUUUAGAGAGAAUGUUAUAAAGAAAAUUUCACAAAUUAAACUAUGUUGCUACUUAGCCCACGUAUGAUGUGUAAAUCAAAUUAAAUGAGAGCAAUACUAGUAUAUUCAAUAGCAAUUCAUGAAGCAAAGCAUAGAAUACAAUAGAACUUCCUUUGAAUGCAUUAAAAACACAAACCUGCAGGGCAUGAAUGUCGUAUAUGACUAAACUAGUUGGGCCACCUCUUGAUAUUGGGAUAUUUGACAACAUACGUGCAAGGGUGAAGGCAGUUGCUACAUCUCCUUCUUCUUCCAUUCGUUCAAAUGAUCCAGUUGGGAAGAAAGGCAAAACCAAUGUGAAUGAAGCAACAAAUAGACGAGGGAGUGCAUAUAUGACAGAAAGUUGUUCAAACACUUGAGCUGGAGAGCUGAAUGAUGCCAAAAAGGCAACGUGUUGACCUCUAAGCUCUUCUGCAUUAUUUAUAAAUAUAUUUGGAAACCCAUCUGCAAAUGACCUGAAUAAGCAUAAAAUAAGUUCGUAAUCAAUUUUGUCUAAAAUAACAUAACAAGAAAUUGGUAUGACCAAGAAUAUAACUAAGAUUGCUACUAAAAGUAAUUAACAUAACUAAAUAUCAUGAGAAUAAAAUUUCAGACAAAUGUCAUGGAAAACAUGAAAAUUAAACAAACAACCAGAUGAAGUGUAAUUUCUUUCAAGCAAAAAAAUGAGAAUGUAGUGCUAUAAAGCUCCUGCCAUUGAGGUAUAGGAAAGGGUUGGAUCCAUUACUAAUCUAUUGUAAACAGUGUUGUUAAAUGGCUAUCAUGGCACCGCCAUGGAAGAAUGGCAUGGAGGAUUUUUUUACAACCAUCACAUGCAAUUUGCGGCACCAUAGGCUGCAUUGGUGGAUUUUAGGCCUUCCUCCAUAUUCUGCCAUCCAUCGUCGACAACACUGAUUUUAGGCAGUCUCACUUUGCAAAUCCUAUGAUGAUCUAAAGCAGUGUUAAUGUUCACCGCUGACAUGUAUUGCAUCAUUAUCAUCAUUAACGUGUUCAUCGGUUCCUACACCACUGAAUUUAAACUCAUUUCUUCCUAUUUUAUAAAUCAGCCUCAUACUUUUCAAAUCCAUUACUUUUUAGUUUGAAUCUAUUGAAAUCAGCCUUUAUAUUGCAUAUUGCAAAAUACAUGUUCUCAUCUCUGAUCUCUCUAAUUCCACAAACAAAGUGUCACCACUAAAGACUUGGUAUCGUUUAAAAAACACAUAUCUACAAUGAAUCGUUCGCCACUUUAUCACAAUCAAUAUAUAUAAGUUACCAACUUUCACUAACAGAUGAUCUGAUCUUAGUACUUUCUCAGACUCUUCUUUUCAUCUUAGCUUCUACCUCCGCUGGAAGCUUCCAUACACAGCCACUCGGGAAAGAUUACUUGUAAUUCAACCCAAAAAAAAAAAACACUUUAAUCUUUACAAAGGAUACACUAAAAAGCAUUAGAAUAUCUAAGCCUAAUCUUUACAAAGGACAAAUUGAAUUUGAAGAAUUCAUACAAACCCUCUAAAAUCCUCCUCCAAUACAAUUUUUUAGUUGGGGGAAGUUGUAAUAUGAAGAAAAGUUGUGUUAGAAAAAUCUAGAGAUUUUUUUUUAGAGAUUUUAAAACAAAUCUGAAGCUAUUUGUUUUUGUUUACUAUCCAAAAAAAAUCACUUUUUAAAAAACUUGAUUUUUAACUAGUUCAUAUGUUACCUCCUUGUUCUUGAAAAAAAUAGAUUUUGGGAAAAGCUAAUCCUAACAGCUUUUCAUUUUAGAGUGAAAAUAGAUUUUUUUGAUAAAAUGAUUUUUAUAAAAUCCAUAACAAACAUUUAAAAAUGACAAAAGUGAUUUUUUUUAUUAAAAAAAAUACUUUUUAGUGUAUAACCAUUAAACCCAAUUAUUAAUUUUGAGACUAUUAUAAGCAUUCCAUUAUCAAUCACUAAAAAAGAUAACCUCUCAAAUAAGGUUAAAAUUUCUCUCUCAUUUCUUGGCAUCCCCUUCCUCCCGUCCAAACCCCCAUACAACCCCGAAAAAUGUUCAACUAAACCAUCCCUUCUAUAAACCCUACUAAUUGAAUAUGAAAAAUAAUAAAAAUUACAAAUUUUACAACCUAAAUUAACAUACAUUGAGCUAAAAUAAAGAAUGAAAACUCAAUUUGGUCCCUCACAAUUUUCUCGUGCCCCAAUUCAGUCGUCAUAAAAAAUAAACCCAAACCCAAACUAAUGCCUAACAUUGGACAGAUAGUUUGAGUUUAUUUUAUGUCGAGGAUUGAAUUGGGAAAAUUGCGAGGAACUGAAUUGGGUUUCGCUCUAAUUACAUUGAAAGAUCAAUAUGUAUAACUCCCAGAAAUUAACAACUUAAGCUAGGAAAAUAGAAAACACCGUGUUCUCCCAAAAUUUACAGAAAUGAAAAUAGAAAAUAAAAACAUCAAGAUAAACCCAAAAUUGAAAGAUAAAGAAGUAAAGGGCAAGAGAAGAAGUUGAGGUACCUACCUCCAUUUGAUAUUCUGGAGAGUGAUGUUAGUUUGUGAGUGAGAAGCAACUUUAUUUGCAAGUUCUUCACAAUCAAGAGAGUAAAAGAGAUUAACAUGCUUUUUUGGAGACUUCACCAUUGCCAUUCUUCUCUUCUCUCUCUCUCUCUGUUUCUUACACAAGAAUCACAGUGGAAGAAGAAGACUAGGUUAAGUUCUUUUUUUUUUUUGGUAGAAAAACAAAUAUUAUGGGCCUUAUGGAUUAUGGCCCAAUCUGAGAAAUUGAGUAGUGAGAAAAGAGAACAUAUGGGUGUAAAUAGUUGUACAUAGUUGGAAAAGUUGAUAAGUGUCAAAUCUAUUUGAUUUCACCUAUAUAUUUAGGACACUUGUUAGCUUGUUUUGGGAUCAAUCCAUUAGAAAUUUUACAAUUUAUUGUAAAUAUUUAAUAGUUAAUUUUUCUUAUUUUGAUUGGUUUUAAUGAACAAGAUAUGAACAUGCAUUCAUAGAUGUUAUAUAAAAAUGUGACUCUAAUAUCAACUUAAGAGUUCCAGAUGUUAUAUAAAAAUGAGCUUGAAAAAGCUUAAAGAUUUUUAAUGAUUCAUAGAUUAUAUAAUGAUUAAAAGUGUAAAAAAAAAUAUCAGUGCGUAUCAAUUAAAUACUACUAGUAUGCAUAUUUAAGAAGUAUAUAUGUUAUAAAUAAAAUAAAAAAUAAAAAAGUAGAGUUAGAAUAGCAACAAAAUUGGUGAUUGGAGUUUAUAUUUUAUUUUAUUUAGUCAAAUGAGUAUUUGGUAGCAUGUUUUGUGGAUUGUGAAAGAGGAGGACAUGUGCUUGACUACUAUGAAGAAAAUUAAAAACAUAAUUUCAGGUUCGGCUCCCUCUUCCUCCUCCUGUCUCAUUCAUUCCUAUCGACCAAAUAUAUGUCUCAUUCAAGCCAAAUUAUGAUUUAAUGUAACAUAUUCAACACUUAUUUUUUACUUAGUCAACUUAAACACUUUCUUAUUGAAAUUAAUUUGACUAAAUGUACCUAACAAAAACUGUGCAUUCAAAUGCCCUCAACAGGAAACAAAACUAAUGAAAUGAAAUUAGGACACAACAUUGAGAGAUAUUGUGUCAUACAUCAAUAAGGACAAAAAAGUUUGGGAGAUUUCUUGCAAAAUACAACAUUGCAAAUGAAUGAAUCUUAAUUCUAUUAUUUUCUUUGUUUUUAUGCACUUUAUUAGUUAAUCACAUUUCCCAGCUGUUUCCUCUUAUCAUAACAUGUGAUGGCUUUAAAUCUUCACUGCAAUUGACUUGUAAAUUGUUUAUAACCACUACUUUUGGAAACUGAGGAGCUACAUGAACUUUGGAAUUUUUCUACUUAGCCAUUUUGUACUUUUGGAAACUUUGUCUUUGUUGCAUGAAUAAUAUUUAAUGAAAUUAAGUUAGAUUAGGGUCUGCUGGAUGGAACCACUGUUUUAUUACUGCUACCAUUUUAUAUGCCCCUUUGAGCCUUAAAAAAGUAGAUCUUAUCUUUCACGUUCUGAAAUAGUCUUAUUGAGUUGAUAAAUAUCACAAUCCCCAGCCAAUCUAUCUAAAAGGCUGGAAUACCACAUACUGUAUAGUAACAUUUUGCAUUUGUAGUUUGGGUUUAACAUGUUAUUCAUCCUUAUAAAUAUAUCAACUUUUCAUUUUAGUCAUUUUAAAUUAUUCUUCGAUUUUUAGUUUUUAUAAAAAAAAAUCCAAUCGCCAUUUUCGGUACCUAUUUUUAAGUCAACUCAUGUGUAAUUUUUGUAUUUUAUGAAAUUGUGCAAAAAUUUGUACAAUAUUAUAAAAAUCCCUCCAAAAAAAUAAUAUAUUUUAACAAAAACAUGAAUUAUUUUUUGAAGGAAACAAAACAUGAAUUAUUAAAAAUUCAUAUCUAAUUUAUGUUUCGUUAAAAAAAUCGAUUUUGUUUUGUUAGUUUCUUGUAAUAUUAUAAACUUUUAUGCAAAAUUUUAUUCAAAAAUAUAAAUUCUACAUGCAAAUUUACUUGAAAGGAGGAACCAAAAGUGAAGAUUAAAAACUUUUGGGGGGCUAAAAAUCGAAGAAAUUUUUUAAAGAGAUUAAAACAAAAAAGUUGGUAUACUUAUAAGAACCAAAAACAUAUUUAACCCUUAUACUUUAAACCAAAUUUAUUGUCUUUGUAAUCCUACCUAUUUAGAGUCAUUUUUUUCACUCUCUAAAACUAGGGUCAUUAUUAAUCUUCACAAUUACUUGCAAAGAUAUACAAUUUAUGAUAUAAAAAAGGUUAAAUAUGUUUUUGGUUACUAUAAAUAUACAAACUUUUUGUCUUAGUCCCUCUAAAAUUUACCUUCAACUUUUAGUCCCUAUAAAAUUUUCAAUUAUUACUUUUGGUCCCUCUUUUAAAGUAAACUCAUAUGUAGAAUUCGUAUUUUUAAAUAAAAAAUUUCACAAAAAUGUAUAAUAUUAUAAAGAUCUCUCCCAAAAAAAAUUAGAAUUUUUUACCAUAACAUGAAUUAAAUAUGAAUUUUUAUAUUUUUUAUGGUAAAAAAUUCAUAUUUAAUUCAUGUUUUAUUAAAAAAUUCUAUUUUUUUGGAGUGAUUUUUACAAUUUUCUAUACAUUUCUACACAGUUUCAUUAAAAAAUACAAAAGUUUAGUUAAAAAUAGGGACCAAAAGUAGUGAUUGAAAAUUUUAUAGGGACUAAAAGUUGAAGGAAAAUUUUAAAGGGACUAAAACGAAAAGUUAACAUAUUUAUAGAGACCAAAAACAUAAUUAACCUAUAAAAAAUAUCAAAAACAAAUUUUAACUGCGAUAAAAGAGACUUGCUAAACAUAGACAUCGCAAAGGGAAAUGGUAUAUUGAUUUUAUAAAAUGUCAUUUUAGUCGCUUACUUAACAGAAAGUUAGUCAAGUUGGUCUCUCUUUUUUAGAGUUUUAAGUUGGUCUCUUAAAUUGUAAAUUUAGUGUAUUUUGAUUGAUGGAUUUACAUACUUACUAUCAAUGAAUUUCUUGUACAUGAAGAAUAGACUAACUUGAUAAACCUUCUACAAAGUGAGGAACUAAACUGACAUUUAAUGAAAUAAGGGAUCAGUUAAAUCGACACACCCUAGUAAAGUGAAAGACUAAGUUGAUCAUUUACUCAAUAACUAUUUAUUCUAAAUUCUUAAAAAAAAAAUUAUUCUAAUUACCUUCUUAAAAAAAAAAAAUAUUAUUCUAAAUACCAUGGUUGAAAAUGUUGUUAUUAAAUCAAAUGAUUGUGUUCAAGUUAUUAAUGAAUUUUAAUAAAGAACAAAAUGUUCACAAAAUAAAAAAUUGAGUUCAAAUUCUGACUAUGUAAUCUUUAGUCAAUUUUUAAGGGUGAAGAUCCUCUCCAUUUGGCAAAAUAAAUGGAGUUUUAUAAGUUGGAGAGAGAUAGACACCAAAAAUAGAUGGUGGGUCCUACCACUAAGUGGGUCCCACCAUCAUUAAUUAUAUUUUACUUUUUUCAAAAUUUUAUGUGUCUUUAUCUCUCCAAAUUGAAGAAAUGGAGAAACAUAUAAAUGGAGAGGAUCCUAACCCAAUUUUUAAUUAUUUUAAUUUCAAAAUGGAAGGGUAGAAAGAACAGAUGCAAAAUCCAUUGGUAUAAGCAGAGGUAAAAAAUUUAGGGUAAAAAAAACCAGUGGGGUUUUCUAGCCACCCUUUAGCAUCACACAGUCAAGUGAAUUGCAAUUAUAACCAUGUGAAAUGUGACUGACUAUAUGUCACAUGAUGGCUAAUCCAUGAAUAUGUUCCUAACUUUAAUAUGCAAAAUUACAGCUAUGUCUCAUCAUUUUAGCACUCCUUCAUUGCCUUAUGUGAUUCUUCUAUUCAUUCAACAAUUGCACAUUGCAACUUCACUUCUCUGCCCCAUAACAAAUGUUUUGGCACCCUUCUAGUAAGACAUUAAGAUUGCUAAAUCUAAGGUUGGCCUUACCUCAAAGCAAUUCAUAAAAAAUUGUACUAUUUGCCUAUUUAGCUGGGUCUUCACUCACUGAUAGUACUGAAAAAAGCAUAGAAAAAUAUCACUACAAGGGUAAUUAUGUUACAUACUCUAAUAUGAUUUUUGGCCUAGAUGCUUCAUCCUAGAUAGUAAUAAUGAAUACAUAAUGAUAUAGAGUGAGGUUGAAAAAGUCUCCUUCUUUGCUCUUCUAAAGGUUCAUAUGAAGAAUAUUGAAGGGUCAAUUUAUGCUUAGGAUAAAUUGAUUAAGAUGAAACAGGAGAGAAGUGAUAGAAAAUUAUUGGCCUUAAAUGUAAAGUUAAAGUAUAUGAAUAAGAUUAACCAUAUCCUUUUUUUGGGUCCCCUAGAGUAAAAAGUCUAUGAAGUGAAACAAGAAAUUGAAAGUUACUUGUGUGAUUUAUUUAUUCAGAAACAAAAAGAAAUUUAUGUGAUUUAGUAAAAGGUCGUGAAAUUGAUGGAUAUAUAGUAAGUAAACAAAAGCUGCCAAAUAAUCAUCAAAAGAAAAUUCAGCCCCUUGAAAUGUUCAUAAAGUUUAAACUUUCUAGUCAUUUUGUCUUGCGGCAUUGAAUGAAUUCAACAAAGAAACAGGAAAACAAAAGUACCCUAGGAUUUUAUGUUUACGAUUUAGUUUGAUUUUUAGACCUAGACUAGAUUUAAUUUAAACAAGUUUUUUUUUUUUUUUUUUUUUUACAAAAGAUUAAACAAGUUAUUCGAUUAAGAUCUUGCUAAUAUGACAUUUAAACCAAAAAUAUGUUUUAUUAUUAAUAGUGAGAACCAUAGUAGUGUGUGAGGCACCCAACGAUCGAUGAGAGUCAAAAUCAAUAGUGUCGAUGGUAGUACGGCUUGUGUUAAAGUUGUUCGUAAUCCAAAAGACAGUUUUAUUUUUGGGUUUUCUUCGUGCUUGCUCCAUCGUUUUGACAGGGCUUUGGGCAAUUCACAUAGCUUUAGAUUAUAGUUUUAAGACAUAAUUGUUGAAUCAAUUCGCAUGAAAAGGGAUGCAUCCUUGCUCACAUAGUUUCUCAUACUUUUGUUUGGUUGUUGAUCUUAACGAGUUCCAACUUUCAACAUGUCUAUGGUGAAGUCAACAAAAGUUGAAACCUGUAACUCAAGAUUUCACAAACGAAAGGUGUAACUCAAGCUAUUUUUUCAUGCACUAUCUUGACAAGUUUAUAAAUAGUAAAUAAAAACUUAUUUAUUUGCGGAAAAUGCUAAAAUUUAUGGAAGAAUUGAUGCAAGAAAGCUAAGAAAAUGAGGUGGCAUAUUGUGAUUGGGUAAAACUAUUUGAUACACAUGCACCCAUGUAUUGUCAUCAAUCCCCGAUUGUACAACACGUGCUCAAUACAUACAUUCUUGCUUUUCUUAGUCGUUUCUUUUGUAAAAAAAUAGCAACACUUUUUUUUUGUGGUCGGAGUUUGAACCACAGACUUUUUAUAUAUUAUGCAUUGUUCAUACCAACUUAGUUAAACUCAUGAGGACAAUAACAACCCUCUUUAUUUAUAUAAGUUGUUUUACGUAAGUUUAAAAUUAAGUUAAUCUAAACAGACAAAACCUUAUGAUUUUCUUUGUGUUCCUUACUUUGCAUCUUGGGCUAUGUUAGUUAAGAGUUAUGACACUCGUUUAAGGUUUUCUACUUUUUUUUUUUUUUUGUUACAAAGCUAAUCAAGCAAAGGAAAGAAAAAUGCAAAGAAAAGGAAAAGAAAUAGCAACUACGCCCUUAGGAAAAAGACUCCCGAAGUGUCACUCCUUAACAGUCCAAGGAGGUCUGUUGAACGAGUAGGAUGAAUAAUGAUGUCAACAUCUGAAGUCGCCCCUAAUUUGGCCAAGAAAUCCACACAUUGGUUGCCUUCUCUAAGAGUAUGCUAAAGAGAGAAAUUACUUGUGGUCAAAAGGUCCUUAAUGUCCUGAACUAGAACAGCAUAAACAUGAUAGUAUUGAAUGUCCCCAUGAAUGUGAUUGAUGGAAAGGAGAGAAUCCGAGUAACAAACUAAAUCAUUGAUGCCCAUGUUUCUUGCCAACCUAAGACCAUGAUAGAUUGUUGUUAACUCAGCCAACAAAAUAUCAUCAGAAUGAGUGAUCGAACCUGAGAAGGCAGAGAGGAAGAAGCCAGAAUUGUUGCGGAACACGCCACCAAAACGGUACGAAUAGGAGUCCCGUUACAGCUUCCGUCUACAUUCAGAAUGGUGCACAUAUGAUUGCCACAAUUCCACUUAACAAAACACUUAGGAGAGACAAUCGAUUCUUCUUGAUUGAAGGAAGAAAUUAUAGUGUCAGCGGAGUUGUGGAUGCUAUUGAUAAGACGAGAUUGGGACCAAACUUCGUUGUUGAGGCACAUUAAAUUUCGAUGCCUCCAAAUCCACCAAAGACUAGAUAGAAAUAAAGAGGGUCGAACACCAUUAAUGUUAGAACGGAUCCAAUCUCUCGAACAAAUAGAAGAGAAAAAAUCAUGAUGAAAAAAUUCAGCUUUGUGCCAAAUGGUUUUUAUCCACCUAAUGGUUUUUGAGCACCAUUAGGUUUUCUACUUUUUUGGUACAACAUGAUCUUUUCUUUUUGUUGAAUAAAUGACCUAAAAAUCUAUCAAGUCUUAUUAUAACCAUAAAAAUUCCAUUUAAUUAUUUUAUUAAUGAACAGACAAAAUAAUCGAGCCUAGGUGUCAUAUCAUCCAAAGUUUGGCAGCAAAGGAAUGGUACUCUCUGUCUUUGAAGUAUCUUCUUAUCACCAAGAAACUGCAUCUUCAAAAAAUGAAUAUUCACAAGACUAGGAACAGUAUGUGAGCAUUUAAUAAUAUGAAAUAAUUGUAUACAAAAUUGUAAUCUAGUAGUACUAUGAUAUGGUUCCCCUUAAUUCCUACGUUAAGGUCAUAGAAUAAGUACACAUUUAAUUUUAUAAUGUUGAAAAUUAAGAUAGUGGAUGGCGGCCAUACCAUAUAGAGGGCGGUGGGUUGGUUUUUCUUCAAUUUCGUAUCUGUUUUGGUCACCAACUGUGGGACACACCAAAUCCCCCCAUUCCAUGCCCUUUCAACAUCUUUAACGCAUUAAUUGAGGGAUAUUUCUUUCCCUAUUGGUUGAUUGAUUGAUUUACUUAAAAGAAAAUAAUCAAUAAGCAAGUAUAGUAGUUACUGUUACAUUGUAAAAAGUAAGUAUGGGUUGUCUUGUUUAUUGGACAUUUGAUAAGUUUAGUCCAUUGCAUCAAUAUGGAAUGUAUGAAAGGUUCAAUACGUAUCGAAUACAAAUACUCAUAAAUUUGUAUAUAUUAGGUUAAAUUUGUUUUGUAGAUAAAUGAAAUAACAAUAUUUGUUGGAAACUCGCACACAUAGAAAAGUUGGGGUUUAAAUUCUGAUCACGACAUUCGAUCAAACAAUUUCGACUUUUUUGUCAGCUGCGUUAUGACUUAUGGACAGUUGAAAGAUGUUUUUCGCAUACACAUGCAAUCAUGCAUGGACAACUUAAAGUUGUAUGGAAUAUCUAAUUUUAGACACUGAAAUGGUAACUUACUCAAGCUUUUUUUUUACAUCAAUGAUCAGUUUGUUUCAUAUCUAUAGUGUGAACCUAAGAUGUAAAUGCAAAUAAUGUUGGUGAAGUAGAAGUUGGCUAAAAUUUUAAGUGAGACGAGUAAGUUCUUCUUCACCUUUUGAAAUUUCUAGUGUGUACUAUAGUGAGGUCUCAGCCGCCAUUAACCACAAUUUAUUUGGUGGGGUCCAAGCUCAUUUUAAAUCUAAUGGCCAUUAAGUAGUGUAGAGGCAUGAAGCAGCUUGGUGGGUCCAAACAUUAUUAUUGUAAUUAACAAAGUAGGCUGCUGUGUGUGGGCUCGUGGGUCCCACUUUGUUCCCGUUAAAGCUGUGGUCAACCAAACUUAGAUUUGGUCUCAUCUUCACAUAUGUAAGAUGGAAAGGGGGACAAGAGAGCCAAGUGUCCUUACAAAUUGUAGUAAAAUAAUGGAAAAGUAAGUUGUAACGUGAUCUUGCUGAAGUGGCCCAAUCAAGAUGUCAAGAUUGAGAUAUCUUACCAAAGACAAAAAGCCAAUCAAUGGUAAAUAAAAUUGACUAAUACCUCAAAUUUGUCAUUGAAUUUUCAAAAAUCAACCAAAUUCGUCUUUGAAUUUUGUAAAAUAUCUAUUUAGUCCCUGAAUUUAUAAAAUGUCAAUCAAAUCAGUCUAUCUGUUAAGUUAAGUUGGUCUGUUAACGGAGGUGACGUGUAACGUUAACCUCUUACAAAGCUUAUCACGUCAGAUGCCACGCAAGCAGGGACCAAAUUGAUUGAUUUACAGAAAAUUGCCAAGGACCAAAUUGAUGAAUUUUCAUAAAAUUGCCAACGGCUCUUUCUCCUCUUUCUCAUUAACGGCUCUUUCUCCUCUUCCUCAUUAACGGCUCUUUCUUCUACAAAUAUAUAAAUUUGGAACCCUAAUGUUAUAAUUUGUCACCUAUAGUUCAAAAUCCCCCAAAUUUCUUCCAUGAAUUGAUGUCAAUGUUCUUCCCCAAUUCAAAAAACUUAAAACCCUAAUUUUUUUGAUUCAAUUCGAAAUUCAAAAAUCAGUGGUCAUUGUUGAAGAUUCGGUGUUCAUAAAUGAUGGGUGGUGGGCGUAUGGCCAAAAACAACUACAAUAGUCGGUCUUCAUCUUCAAGCUCUACGUACAAUGAUGAGGUGAGAGAGCUUCAACAAUGGUGUCCUAGAAUUUGUGUUGUAAGAAAAGUCAACAUUGUACUAGAAUUUGUUUGAUUGAGUUGUUUAAAAUGUUAUUGUAUUGUGUCAAGUCGAUGUAAUGUUGUAAUGAAAAGAGGUUGUCAAUGAAUGAAUCAAACCUUUCUGUCAAAAAAUUUCAAUCAAAUUGGUCCUUGAAUUAUAUGCAUAUCCAUCAUAUCGAUCCUCAAAUUAGUGAAAAUACCAUCAAAUAGGUCCUUGAAUUUUCACAACGGAGAUCACUGUGAUCCUUGGUGCAUACAUUUGCUGAACAAAGUAAAAAGUAAAAGACAUACACUUUGAUUAUAAAAAGACAGACAUUUGCAUAACAUCCUAAGUCAUAUAUUUGAUGUCCAUAAGUCAUUACAUAGCCAAAAAAAUUACAUUACAUAGCCAUCAAGUCAUCAAAUCAUUUGAUAUUCUUAAGUGAUUACAUAUCCAAAAAAGCAUAAACUAAACAAGUCCAAAAAGCAUUAAUUAAACUAGUCUAAAAGGAUAAUUUAAACAAGCAUCACAAACAAACAUCAAUGAAACAUGAUAUGAAGUUAAAAGUUGAAAAAAUAAUGCCUAAAACUAAAAGCGAAAAUCACAAAAAAGGGAGAAACGAACAAGAGUGAAUGGAAAACGAAGUUGAAUGGCGUUACCUUGACAAACCAAAAAAACUGACUUCAAAACCGUAUCUUUUCUAAGGUUGAUUGCCGGUGAUGAUGAUGAUUUUGGAGAAGCGGAGAGGGUGACGGUUUAGGCGGGAAGGUGAAAGGUUAGGGACUUGUUUGAUGCUUUUGAGUGAAAAUGUGAGGAUGAAAGGCAAUGAUAAUAAGAGGGGUAUAAUUGGAAACACAGGAAAAAUUACACUGAAAAGUUAAAUCUCGAAUUUUUACUAUUUCCAUCAAUUUAGUCCUUGUACACGUGGAUGCCUUUGAGAUAUUUUAUCUUUGGGAAAUGUUAACUUCUGCUCUUAGGGCACAUGUUAAGGAUUCCACUAAUAGAAAUUAUGUCUCGUAAAUUGCGAUAAUUUAUUGCUCAAAAAAUCUAAUAUUAAUUUUUUCAAUUAAUAUUUUUCAUUAGUGACAAGAAUUUAAUGUUUAACAUGUACCCUAAAGACACAAGUUAACAUGACCCUUUAUAUUUUACUACUUCGAAUUAUUUCUGGUCAUUUAUAUAUCACAUAAAAUAUUUGAUAUAAGAUGCAUGACAUACAUGUGAGAUUUCUGAUAAUGAUGUGUAACAACUUAGAUUAGAUGACUGUAAGUAUUGUCGACUGAUCCUAUAAAUAAACAUUAGUUUUUUCAAUGUGUUUUGUCUUUAUUCGUACGUUUUUUGGAAAACUUUUAAGAAUAUCAUCAAUCUCAAAAUUGUUUCAAGUCAAGCACGUUAAAUGAAAGAGUUUUUAAGGAAUGAACUAUCAAAGAAGAUGCAUCUUGUUGAUACAAAUAACACCAAACAAUUUUUAUAAGUAUUCAUUUAACCUUGCAGUCCAUACUUGUACGGUCUUAAGAUCUCUCUUAUUUCGAUGUGAUUGUGUUUUCCUUGAAGUUGUCGAGUCGUUGUCAUGACUUGUGUACCGACGACCACUUCUCACCCUCUUGAAUCUCGGGCGCUACAUGAUGAAUAUGCAAACACUCAAUGGUUAAAUUAAAUUCAAAAGUGGGAAAUUUAGUUGAGGAUGUAAGCAAACGUUUGUAUCUCGCCAUGAUGUGCAAAUUAAGGUGUAAUUUUGAUCACGCAGUCGUUGAUCCUCAUAGAAAUGGUAUGUGUAUGAUGAUGAGUCGAAAGUGUGGAACACCAGCUAAUUGGAUUUUAACCCAACUCAGAACAAGACUAAUUUCUACUUGAACUUAUUUUCUGUUUUGAUCCCUCCUUUUUUAAAAUUAUGAUUUUCUUCCCCCAACUUUAAUGAUGUAAAUAGAGAGAUAGUUAUGUAACUAUUUAAUUGAUAGCAUGGAAAUGAAUCAUAAAGUAAGAAUCCUUACAUAUAGUAUUUUGCGUAAACUUUGGAUGCUUUUGUGAUAUAGGUUAAUUUAUAUUUUGAUGAAAAGACAAUUAAUUGUUGAAUAAGAAUCUACAUACACAACCUCUUAAAAAAAAAACUACAUGCACAAUGUCGUAUCUUCAACAAAGUUGUCACAUGAAUAUCUCAUUUGCCACGUCAAUAAAAUUCAAAAUUUAACCCAUAAAAAAUCAGACUUUAAAAUGAAUAAAUAGAUAAGUCGAUCAUUUUAAAAGUUGAUAGACCAAAAUAGUAAAUAAAACAAAGUAGAAGGUAAACAUUUUGGUUUUUAUCUUUGCAAAUGCACCAAAAUUAUUAUUUUACCUACAACUACAACAAAUAGAAGCUCAAUUUAUAUCUUUCUUACACUAUAUUUGCAUAAAAAAGAAGGGAAACAAAAAGAACAAUAGAUACAGUAAAUUUUGAAAGAAGAAGAGGAGAACCACAUGAGGUGUUUUACAAUCAUCAUGUCCAAACCAAUGGAGAAGAAUUGAACCUAUGUAAGGGAUCUUAGAUGGACAUGUUGACAUGUCACAAGCCAGUUGCUUUCUCACAAUUACAACACAUUUAAUGGAGAUGGAUAAAUAGACUAUUUUCAAUAAAGUUAUAAAGAUAAGUGACUAAAAUGAUUUAAUAUUUUUUUGACUGAUUGGUUUUGAAUGAUGUGGUAUUGAUACCUGAAUCAAUUGAGAUCGACUUUGAUUGGUUUAGUUCAAUUUGGAUCAAAAUACUGAUAAAAGUUGAACCACAAUAAUUAAAUUGUACAUGAAUAGUUUUAGGAAAACAUUACUAAUAUUCGUGAAAAAAAAGAGAUAAUAAUAAAAUAUAAUGAUUUGAUUCGGAUUUUGAGUGAUUACUUUUGAAUGAAAUGAAAAUUAUCUUUAUUGAAUUUAAUUGGAUUGGUUAAGUUUAAAGUUUAAACCCAAAUAUAUUGACAAAAAAUCGAACUAAAAUAAUUAGUUUAUAUUGAUUAUCCGAGUUCCGUCCUAAAAUAUAUGAUCUCCUUAAAAACUAUUCUUGUCAUUUUAUAUGUCAUUUUUAAAAUUUCAACUGCAUUUGCUAUUUCUUUAUUAAAAUAUCUCAAUUUUUUUUAUCUUUUUUAGUUCUUGUAAUCAAAUCAACGAGAUGCUAUUUUAGAGUCGGAAGUGAUAAAAAAAUAUAACACCAAACUAAAUCCUAGAUAAAAGACAAAUGUGAGUUUUCAAUAAGCUAAAACUUCUAAAUUAUUAUGGAUAGUCUUGGCUUUCAUUUAGUAAAGUUUUUAUUGCAGAUUUACACAUUACUAAGUACAAUGGUGAAGAAACCAAAUUUGUUUUCCUCAUUGCCUAAUAUAUCAACUUAUAGUAUUGAUUUUUUUUUUUUUUUUAAUAUUUUUACCGAAAGGAUUUGUCAAAAACUCAAAACCGACUUCAUAUUUUACGAAGUCAAAUUUACAGACCAGUAAAUUAUUAUUACUAGAUUAAUAACAACCCUGUUUUUCUAGGACAAAAUUAACAACCUUGUUGAAAUUAGGAAAUAUGAAUUAUAUAGGGUAGUUUGGAUGUCAACGAACAAUUUGAUUGCUAAAGCUAAAAAGAGAUAUGAUGCGACACGGUUGAAUAUGAAUGUGCUAACCUAGGAUCUGAAUGCAAAUGGGGACAUCUCUUGGUAAAAAUAAAUAAAUAAAUAAAUAAAUAGAUACAUUCCUUUAAAAAAAAUAAAAUUGGAGAGAUUAUCUCAAAUCGAUUGAAUAGAUAUGACACGAAUUAUUUCAAAGAAAAAAUGAUGACAUUAAUAAAAGAUGAAAAUAUCUCUCGAGAGUACUAAUAGAGCAGUGAUAUUUAAUAAGUUAUUUGAUAAUAUUUUUUCCUGAUCAAAAACAAUAGAAAGAGAAAAAAAAUAAAAAAUAAGAACAUAAUUUGAGUACGAGAGAGAUGAUUAUUAAAAAAAUUUAUCACAAAAUAAUUAUAAAAAUACCAUUUUUCAAAUUAAUAUUGAUGUAUUUCUAAGAUUAAAUUCUAAUUCACAAUCUUUGAUUAAGUUAAUAAGAUUUUUUAUCAUCUUUCUUUGGUAGGACAUCCUAAAUGGAAUAAGUGAACAUUAAAUAAAAAUAAUAAUAGCAAAACUGAUACACUUUUUUUACUCUAAAAAGUAGCAGACACCAAAAAACAGGGUAGGUUAGAGAUUGAAUUUACUGUACAUACAUACGAAUUUUUUACUUUUGCACAAGGUAGAAAUAAGUUUUAGUGUGAUCUUUUUAAAUACUAACAAGUGUAUUUAAGACAUUAGUUUAAAAAUUAAAGUGAAAAAUUUAUUUUGAAAAUUGUCUAUUCAAAACAUUGAAACUAAGUAUCAUUUUAUACAUGAAAUCUAUCUUUUAUUUAUAUUUUUGAAUCAUAACGAUAAGUGACAUAACCCUUUUUUUAAUAGUUUUCGUGAAAAUUCGCAAGAAAAAACUGAGUGCAUGUUGUACAACAAUCACACCAAAUGAAAUGGCGUAUUCCUACUAUUUUCCUAUAAAUAACUUUGAAUCUAUUAUGUAUAUGUUUCAAUGUAGAGUAGUUUGGUAUAUAAUUUUUUAAAAGUAGGUUAUUUGUGCAAAACAAAUCAUACAUAACUUCGAAAUUAUUUACUAAAAAAUUGCUUUGAAGUUGUUAAAUUUAUGAUGAUUUUUUUUUAGAUGAUGAUGAACUUCUUGUUUUAUGAAAAGGCUAAGAAAGAUUAUAUUAAACAAUUAAAAAUAGCCCCUCUAACACAAAUUCAAGUAAUUACAAUUCCAAAAAGCUGCAAAUGCAACUGAAGAAACUAAUUAGAAGACUUCUUUUAUGCACAUCAAAGGAUUUAGCCUCCAAAUUAUGCAAUCAAAAUCAAACAAAACAUAAAAAUAUUUUAACUACUAGUAGAUCUGAAUCUUAACUUCUUCAAUUAAGGAAGUAAGAAUACAAGUCUUAUGAUUAAAGAUCCCUGUAUUUCAUUCCUUCCAAAUGACAUAAAUCACAUAUGUCCAAAUAAUGUUGAAAGUCAGGACUUUUUAGGGAAACUUCGUUGCCCUCCAAAUUGAAGAAUAUGGUCAAGUAAAUUUCCAUUAGGAGCUUGGUAAAAACCGAACAAUCAAUAAUCAUAAAAUAAGAUUCCAAAGACAACUAUAAACAUCACAUUGGAAGAACAAGUGGUCUUUGUCUUCCACAUAAUCACAAGCAGCCGAGCAAAAAAAAUAUCACUAUUAGACAAGCUAUGUCUUCUAAACAAAUUGUCCUUCAAGCUAUGUCUUCUAAACAAAUUGUCCUUCGUAGAGAUUCGAUUUAACAACAAACGUCAGAUAAAAAUGUUAACUUUGAGAGGAAUCACAUUGAUCCACAACACGUGAUUAAAAACCAAAUUAAAAUCAACGUCAGCAGCAGUUAAGUUGUUAUAAGUAUUUUUUACAUUAUACUGAUGCAAGGAAUGAAGCUUCCAAACCCACUGAUCCCACACCUUAACCUACAAAAGCACAUUAGAUAAUAACGCCACACAGUCCCUCACCAACUCCUCUUUCCACGCAAACAACCUCAUUCACCACUUCCAUGCAUCCCCAUUAACACCCACUUCAAAAAAUGCAUUUCAGAUACAUAAACUAAUUUGUUAUCAACCAACUCAAAAAGCCUUAUAAAUCUUACUUCCAACGGUAAUUCACCAAUCCACAAAUCCUUCAAGAACAGAGUAGAUGUCUCAUAUCCGACCUCUCUAACAAUAUUAUCAAACAACCACCUGUCCUCCAACACGCCCCACACCUUUUGAUUAAAUUCAAAUUCUGCCACCAAAUCUAGAGCCCAUGCAUUUUUUGACAUUAUAUUACAUUUAUUUAUACGAAAAUGUUAAAGAACGUCCUUAAAUACUUAUUUAAGAAAGUAAUAUUUAUGUUGAAAAAUGAUAAAAAAAUAAAAAAUAAUAAGAACUAAAUCUAGUACUCAAGUCAGCAUGUUCCUUACUAAAUUUUACACAUAAUUAACAUAAAUAUUUUAUUCAUUUUGCAUUUUUAUUCCACGUCAAUCAUUGUUUCUCAAUACAAAGAAUUUUAUAUUGUUUUCUUGUUUGGCCAGACAAAAUGAUACCGUACACUCGAAGUAUCUAUAGAAAUUAGAAUCCCACCAAGAAAAUUGUUGUAAUCUACUCAAAAAAACACAUAUAGUUGUAAAAAUAAAGCAUUUGCGCAUGCAAUUUUUGUACAAAUGGUUCUGGGAGAUUGAAAUGAUUUGAAGUAUUUAUAAUCCCCUCUUUCAAAAAAAAAAAAACAAAAAAGUAUUUGUUAUAAUCCCCAAAUGGGUCACCCUCUAAUUUUUCAUUUGUGCAUGCAAUUAAGGAAUAAAUAAAGCAAGAUAUCAACCAACAUAGUAAUAUGUCAAAAAAACACCCAUCAAUAAAAUAAUCAAAAGUGAGCUAUUAUAAAAAUAAAAUUCAAAAGAGAGCUAAAACUAAUAUUAGAAAUUCAAUAAUUCAAGUCUUAAUAUAGAAAUAUAGACACAUACUCUGAAAUUCUACAGCCAAUUUGACUACCUUUACAAUAAACCAGUACUUCUUUUGGAGAAAAAAAGGUACAAUAAACUACUUACUUAUACAAUACCAAAAUUUCUUAAUAUAUAUACUACUAUAAUUAUAUAUAUACUUGUCAACUUUAAUACAUGAAAUUACAAGAGUCCUUACUAUGAUCUUUUUUCCUUACAAUCUCACACUAGUUUUGAUUUAGACACUCAUUCUUUUACUGGUAUUUUUUUCCAAUAAUAAAUUUAAUUACAAAUUAAAUACACACAAAUAUAGUUUUCUUUUUCGGCACGAAACUCUACACUCUUCCAAUAAGCACAACAAAACUUCAACUGAGGGCAUCUUCGGAAUUACACAACCAGCAACAAAACAGCAUAAUUACCAAACAGUCCCUUUUCUUUUCUCAAAAAGACAAAUAAGCCCUCAAGAUUUUUCAAUACGGCCACGUCAUAAACUCGUCAAGAUCAAACUCUUCAAACUUCUCUUCUUUUUCCAACUUCUGAUGACAUGUCAGCGGAACGUUAACUUCUGGUAAACUUAACGGCGCGUCGAUGUGAAACCCAAAAGCGUCCACGUCUACGUAACGGAAACCGUCAAACGGCGUCGAAUCACAGUCGUAGGGUAAUACAGACGUUGGCGACGACAAAGCGUCGGAGUAACCACCUCUGUCGCUGUUUCCGCUGCUCACCGGCGGCGUCACUUCAAAAUCCUUUUCGAUCUCCGUUUUAACCUCCACCUGAGUUAUUGGGUAGUUUGUAACCGCGUUUGAACCAUGCAACAUCACUGCCACUCUGUCGUACUCAGCGGCGGCUUCCUCCGCCGUAGAAAAAGUUCCCAGCCAUAGACGUUUUCUUCGGAUCGGGUCACGGAUCUCCGCAGCCCAUUUUCCCCAAGGCCGUUGUCUUACCCCGCGGAAAUUGCUGUGGCGGCGCGUGACGACGGAGGUUGGUGGUUUUCUGGGUCUCCUCACUCUAUUGAGCUUUUUGUGGGUUUUCUCCGGCGAAACAAGAGAAGACGAUGACGAAGGAGAAGAAAAUGAGAGAGAAGAAUUUGGUACGGGACAGUGCAUGUUAAUAUGAAGGAUUUCUCUUUUGGGUUUUCUUCGUUUUGUUGUUUGGUUGUUUUUCUCUCUCUCUUGGUCGCCGGAGGAGUCGGAAUCAGUGGCGUCGUGGUCGGUGAUUAUGAUUCGAACAAGCUUUCUUUUGGGUUUUCUCUUUGUUUUGGUUGAUGGGUUUUCUUCAAAAAUUGAACUUGGUGUUGAUAGCUUCAGCUUCUGCAAAGACAUGGUAAAGAUAGUGAGUUUUUGUGGGUUUUAAGGUUUAUGUUUGAGGGUUUUUGUGGGUGUUAAGGUUGUUUGAGUGAAGUGAGAGAGUAAAAAGAAAGAGUUUUUGUUUGCAUGAAGGAUUGGAAG
rnacentral:lncRNA from 1 species